AUCUGCAAAUUGGUUAUGAACCCCCAAUGGCAGGGAAGUCAGUCCCAAUUCUAUCGAAGACGACAGAGUGAGAUGCAACAAUGCGUGACGUCCAGCUGCCCCAAGACAGGAGAGCACAUUAGAUCCUUAUGAAUGUGUUGCAGAAAGGAUGCACUCGCCUGAGGUUCAUUUAAGCGUGCAUGCCUGUCUUUCGGACCACCCAUGCAAGCACCGCAAUUGGGACUUGCAGGUGUGUCACAUCCAGCUUCCUCAAAUAUAUGGGAGCAAGUCUUGCCACAAGACCCUGGAACUGGAAGACUAUACACGUCCAUCCAAACCUGCAGAUUUCAGAAUAUACAAUAAACAAGAUUUCAUUUAUCGUGCCUUUCAUAAAAUUUCUUGAUAAAUUUAUAUAUACGGAUGUUGUCACCGAAGUACUUAAUUCUGUAGCUUGACAAACCUUUUGGGUAGCAGGCACAAGAUAUGUGGGAACUUUGACCUUUUUCCCCUGCAGCAAAGGAAUUAAAUCUUUAAGAUUAAACCAAGAAAAGAGAAUUUCCAAAAAAACAUUCAGAUGUCGAUUGAAGUCAGCAUUAUAGCAUAUGCAUAUUAUAAAAGGGAAUAUAAAUGAAUAAAAGAAGGGAAUAAAAGAAUAUGCAUAUUAUAAAAGGGCAAAUGAAUUCCAAAAGGCACAAGAAAUGUGGGAACUUUGACCUUUCUCAUUAAUACAAAUGAAUUCCAAAAGGCCAAAUCUCACGCAUCUUAAGUAAGUCAACAGAAGGAAUAAAAGAAUAUGCAUAUUAUAAAAGGGAAUAUAAAAGAAAUGCGUAUUCGAAUCCUAAAUAUGCUUAACAUCCAAUUCUCUUACCUCUGUUGUAGAUUUACAAAUGAUGAUAAGGUAGUUCGUGACAACCUAAACUAACUACAUAAGAUGAUGACCACAUAGUACAUUAAAUGUGACAGUUAUACUUGUAUAUUUUAAAAAAGAUGAAUAUAGAAUGAUGUCUCAUCUACUAACAUAACAUUGUCAAAAUUCAAAUGCACCAUCAAUGCUUCAAAAGUCCCUCAAAACCAAGGAAGAAAAUAUCGGUAAUAUCGGAAAUAUCGGUAGUCCGAAAACACCGAAAUAUCGAUGGAAAUAUCGGGAUAAUAUCGAUAUCGAUAAAAAUUACAUGGAAACCACGGAAAUUGUAAGAAAAACUUGGAAAUUUUUAUUGAAACUUUGCAGGAUGUUUAUUUAGUCAAUUAUCUAUUAGUUUAUCACAAAAAAUUGGAAGGAAAUGCAUUGCAUAAUGGAUUUAACAUUAUCAAGUUGAUUAUAUAGCGAGCUGAUAAACAUUUUGAGUGUAGAAAAUCUGUAGUAAUUAAUGAAAGAAGUCUAAACACACCAUAAUAAUAUAUAUAUAAUGAAUUAGUACAAUAUUUUACACUUUAUACAUUGCAUUUUGGUUCUUCUCUGACAGAAUUUGGUCUUCACGUGGAGAAGAAGAUAAAGUAAGCAGAUAUUUUUGUUCUUCUCUGACAGAAUAUUUGGUUCUUCUGAGCAAAGUCACUUCCAAUUAUCACACACAUAACCAUACACACACACACACACAAAACCAUGGUUUCAUACAAAACCGUGUGCCACACACACACACACACACACACACACACAAUCUCUCGAUCCUUCUCCCUCAUUCCACACACACACGCACACACACCCUCCCUGUCCUUGUUUCUUCUCCAGUUCUCCCCCCUCCCCCCAAUCUCUUUUCUGCAUAUCUCCUUCCCAGAGGAGACAGACACACACACACCCCACUUCCCCGUGUUUCCCCCUUCCCCAAUCCCUCGAACCUUCUCCCUCAUUCCUCCUUGUUUCUUCUCCCCCCAUUUUUGCAACUCUCCUUCCCGGAGCACAGCCACACCACACCCACACGAGGCGGAGGAUCCAUCAAACCCGAGCGGGUUUUGGGAUCUGGAGAGAAGCGGAGGCAGCGGACACCGGACGAUGGACCGGAACUCAUCGUAGUCGUCGGUGAGGAGGACGACGUUGUCCCAGCCGUCUUGGAUUCGUGAGGAAGACGACGUUCCCAGGCUCCUACUUCUCUUCUUCUCGGCAUGUAAUUUCAUUUUUGUACAGAAUUCGAAUUUUCUGCAUGUAAUUUCAUUUUAGUACUUAAUUCGAAUUUAGGGAUUUAGGGAUUCAGUUAAUUUGCUUUGAAUUCGAAUUUGGGGAUUUAGGGAUUCGGUUAAUUUGCUCCGGUGUUCUUCUCCGAUUAGCAUAGUGCCAAAAUAUCCCGAUAGUUUCGAAAAUAUCGCGAUAUUUUGACGAAAACCAUUUGGAUAGUUAAAAAAAUAUCGGACCCUCAAAAAAACGAUAAUAUCGGCGAUAUUAUCGAUAUUUUCUUCCUUGCUCAAAACCAUAGGAAAUACUAUUUUAAAUAUAUGACAUAAAAACGUUAUUAAAUCUAAAAGGAACAUAAGAUUCUAGAGUGCAUGUCCACGUUGAAAGCAAAAUACAUGCUUCAGAGUUCAAACGUUAUAAACUGGAUCAUGAAAUGGUCUAAUAAAAUGUGGAUAAUCAGUAGCAUACCUUGCUUUAGCAUCACUGUAAACAGGUUCAUAGGGAACAGACGUCUUAUCCUGCGGUUCAACAUUAAACAUCAUAUAGCCUGUGCUACACAACACAAAUGUAUGUGACAUUCAAAAAGAACAAAUUUGUGACAGCCACCCACUAAAAAAAAAAGAAAAAAAAAUUAAAUAAACGUAACUGUACCAAGAAAAUGUUGUGCUCCCAACUCUAUUUUACUGACUCUAAAGGAGGAGGGGAAAGAGAGGGAGAGAGAGCCAUCGUAACAUUUGAAGAUUUGUAGCACUAACCUCAAGGUAAUUAAAUGUAGUGCUAUCAGCAGGAACAAUACCAUUUUUACCUCCAGCCUCAAUAACCAUGUUGCAUAAUGUCAUUCAUUCUUCCAUCUGUCCAGCACAGGUUUGUGAAAGAGUAAUUAACAGAUACAACAAGAUGAAUGGUAUGAUCAUACAUGCAGUAAAAUUCACUUACAGAUAAGCUUUCAACAGUGCUGCCAACAAACUCCAUAGCUUUAUAUGUUCCACCAGCAACAGAUAUUUCACCAGUAAUCUGCCAGAUGAAAUUCAUUUAUCAAGGAAACAACAAGGCUGGAUGUGUUAUAUAUCAAGCAAAUAAAAUCAUAUGAUCUGUCAAGCUCUUAUAAUUUUAACUUCUUUGUAUGCUAUGCAGACUGAGUGAAAAAAAAAUGCCUUGAGAACAGUUAAACUUACUUACAGAAUCAAAUCUUUGUCAAGCAAAUAGUCGGGCAUUUCACCAUCCAUCACAAAUAUCAAUGUUGGUGGCACCUGCAAUUUUAGAAGGAAAUCAGAAAAGUAUGAAAAUACAAUAAAAUUCACAGAAAUUACUGCAAACAAUUAUAACAUUAAAGUACGACAUAAAGCAGUACUGCAGAAAUUGUGAAUCAACAGAUACAACGACCUCGAUCACUCAUAGCUCAUACUGGAAAGAGAAACACAUUUAGCUUAUCAAAAAGCAUAAUUCUCCCUUUUCGGUUCACUACAUGGAGUACUUUCCUGUUUUCUGAGUUUUUACAAUGUCCAAUGAUUUGUUUUGAGACAUUCAGACCUCAGAUUGAGAGGCUGCAACAUGUACCCUUCUUGAUAUUGCCUUCAUGAUCCCAAUGAACAAUAUCAAAUAAUACAGUAAAGUUUAAUGCCUUUUAUAAAGUCUAACCCGUAGCUUCAAAAAUCAAAGGGAAACCAAAUGAAAACCCCACUUCCUAAUAUUAGAACAUAAUAUAAGAUGAAAACAUCUCAACUUGGGCAUGCAGACGUGGUACUUGUGCUUAAUAAAACUUGAGUGUCACAUGCAAAUGGUACUAGAGCCAGUUGUUUCAUAUGGCAUGUAUCUAAACACCUCACACAACACUUGCUUCCAGGACAUAUACAACAAUCUAAAACUGUAUAAAUCAAUCUACAUCAACCAUUUACUAAAAUCCUUUCAUGUGCACAAUACCAAAUUUUCACGAACUCAUCAUGCCUGCCAGUGCACUUUCGAAAACCAUCACCACCUUCGUGAUCACACUUAAACAAGAGUAACGAAGGCAGAAAAGUACUGCAACAAGCAUUUAAAUCGUAUUGGUUGUCACUACCUACUAUUCAAAGCCAUUUCAUAUUGUUUUCCCAUCACUUAUUGCAACAUAAAUACUACUAUUUUCUACAACUAAAUACAUAGUUCUUGAUGUUUGAAGUCGAAUACUCUGCCAAAAAUCAAUGAUUCCAUCAGUCUGUAGAUAUAACAUUUCUGAUGGAAGAUCAUGAUACCAAUGACAAUGGUUCAUUAACCCUUCAUUUAUUACAAAGAAGUUAGAAACUAAUUAUUACCAUCACAAUUUAGAUAAAACAAAAGAAAAGGUAAGAAACAACUCCAAAACCAUUGAAGCACUACGGUGUUACAAUGGCUCAAAUUUUUUAUGUGUAAAGCACAGUAUGAAAGCUAAACAGGGUGAAAGGGGCCAAUAUUCACCAAUAUUAUAUUAGUGGAAGCUAAACUAUCUGUGGAAUUAAACCAUUCGCGUGAACUCCGCCAGAGAGUGACAAUUAUAUGUGAUCAGAAAAGCAGAAAUGAAACAUAUUUAAAAUCUAAAAAACCUUGAGCAGAAGAUUCCCAGUGCCUACUACAAAUCCUGCAUCAGAUUUCCCGAUUCCAGUAGCAAAUUGUCCAAAAGCUCCAGCAGUACAUGUAUGAGAAUCUGUACCCAGCAGAACCUGAAGACCAAAUCAGGUGUUUGGUUGCUGCUUUGGACUGAAAAAACCAUAAAAUAAUAUUGAACUCUUCAAAUGAACGUACCUCCCCUGGCCUGCAAUGACCUUCUUGAGCAAGAGCAACAUGGCAUACGCCCUUAUAACCUGGGUUGGCCUGGCAAAUUGCCAACUAAACUCAAUAUCUGAUGAUUAAAACAAUUAAAACAUGGUGAAAACAUAUCACUUAAAAGCCACACCUUGAAAUUACUUAGAUCCUUGAUAUCAUAGAAAUACUUGAUGUUUUGCUCCGUGCACAAAUACCUCAAGAUAUCCACACUACGGUUUGCACGUUCAUCAGUUGUAAAUAUAUAAUGGUCAGGUAUGAUUACAACCUUUUCGUGGUUCCAAACCUGCAAUAGAAAAACAAUGAAGCACUAUUUUACCCCAUGACAACAAAAACUGCAGUGAUUACAAAAUCUCAGAUAUGAAAAAUAGACCUUUUCUGUUAAAGUUGAUUUGUUUGUGGUGUUUUUGGUUAUAAUUUUGGAUCGGUUUCUUGGGGUAGAAUGGCAAAGAAUUGAGAGGAUAUUGGAGUGUUGCUUUCAACUUCAAGGUUGUGCUAAAAAAAUGCAGCAACCAUACUUCAUUAAGUAGGGAAAAUGUGUAAGAGUAUGGUACAUUUCCAUCACUCAUACUUGUGUAAAAGAGUUGGUGAAAAGACACUAUUUAAAACACUAAAUCACCUUACUACUCCAGAUUAAAUCCUAGCCCUUCAUUGGGAUUUAAGUAAUUUAAUCUGGAGUGUACAUUUGUCAUUCACACAUUUAAACAAAACUAGCCGGUUUGAGGCCAACCCUUCAUUUCUUAUUCUUCCUUUUUCGAUGCAGACAACACCCUUUGCUCAAGAGCUCCUUGCUGCCUUCAACCCCUCGACUCCAGGAGCUGGUUAGCUUCCAACACUCCCUUCUAAACUGCUUCUAGGAGUCAUUCCGAGCAAACCACUCAGGUAACUGAAUCUCUUCUUUGGUAGUGCUGUUGUGAAUAUGUCUGCGAUCUGAUCUUCUGUGCUGCAAUAAAUUAGUUUGAUUGUGUUGUCCUACAAUGCCUCUCUGAUGAAAUGAUAUCUUCUUUUGAUGUGCUUUGUUCUUUGAUGAAAAACUGGGUUUUUGGUCAUGGCAAUUGCAGAGGUGUUGUCACACAGCAGUGUGUGGCAUCAACCUGUAAUUCUCCAAAAUCCUUGAGUAUAAACCUUAGCCAAAUAGCUUGAGCCGUUGCUUCUGAUGCACUCACGUACUCAGCCUCGGCUGGGGACAGUGCAACACUUUGUUGCUUCACAGAGGCUCACGAAAAUAACCCUGAACCAAAGGUGAAAGCGUAGCCCGAUGUGCUUUUGCUAUCAUCUUCACUGCCACCCCAGUCACUGUCACAAAAUCCAAUUAGAAUAGUUGACUUCCCCAUUUCAUACUUGAUCCCAUAAUCUAGUGUUCCUUACACAUAUCUCAGCACUCUCUUAGCUGUGCCCAUAUGUAUCUUGCUAGGAUUCUGCAUAAACCUAGAAAGUAGGCUUGCUGAGAACAUUAGAUCCGGCCUUGUUGCAGUUAGAUACAAUAGACUGCCAACAAUGCUUUUAUAGAGACUAGCAUCUGCAGGUUCACUUCCAUCCUCCUUCUUAAGCUUCUCAUUUGCAAUUAGGGGUGUAGAGACCGGUUUGCAACCCUUCAAACCAAACCUCUCAAGCAAAGUUUCAUCAUACUUCUUUUGAUGAAUAAAGAUGCUACUUGCUUCUUGAAUUUCCCCAAUGCCAAAAAAAUGAUGCAAGAGGCCUAGAUCAGUCAUUUCAUACCUCUUCAUCAUCUCUUCCUUGAACUCUUCAAUCAUUGCAACAUCAUUUCCAGUGUAAACAACAUCAUCCACAUAGAUUGAGACAAUGAGUGUCUUGUUGCUUUCUGUCUUGGUGUAGAGUGUAGCUUCACUAGGACUUUUCUGAAAUGCUUUCUCAGUGAAAUAGGAAUCAAUCUCACUGUACCAAGCUCUUGGAGCUUGUUUUAGGCCAUAGAGAGCCUUCCUUAGCUUGUACACAUUCUCUGGAAACUCUUGAUUUGUGAACCCUUGAGGUUGUUCUACAAACACCUCAUCCUCUAGCACUCCAUUUAGAAAUGCAGAUUUGACAUCCAAUUGAUGUAACUUCCAACCCUUCUUGGCUGCUAGGGCUAUCAAGGUCCUUAUGGUGUCUAACCUUGCUACUAGAGCAGAGGUUUCAUUGAAGUCUACACCUGGUUUCUGUGAGUAACCUUUGGCCACUAACCUGGCCUUGUUCUUUUGCACAAAACCAUCUAAGUUGAGCUUCGUUUUGUACACCCAUUUCACUCCAAUCACAGGCUUGUCACUUGGUCGAUUUACAAGUUCCCAAGUGUCAUUCUUCUCUAUCAUUUCAAGCUCUUCAUUCAUUGCUUUCUUCCAAGCUUUGUCUUUCCCAGCUUCUUCAUAUGUUUCUGGUUCUACUACACAGUAAUUACAUGUAGCAUAAAUCUCAUCCAGGUUUUUCAAUCUCACUGAAGUUGAACUUGGAGUUGUUAUCUGUGAUUGACUUGAUUGUGGACUCAUAGUAACUUGCUGUGAAGUCCUUUGUAUGUCACCAUUAUCUGUGACUUCUUCUUGAACUGAGGUCUCCAUAGGCUCCCUUGUUUGCCUUUUGUUUAGGUCAAGUUGUAGAGAGACAUUAUCCUUUUCCUCUACCUUUGUUUCCCAGUUCCACAUUGAGUCUUCAUCAAAGAUAACAUCUCUUGAUAGGAUUAUCUUUUGAGUCAACACAUUAUAAACUCUGUACCCUUUCUCACUGGUACCAUAGCCUACAAAAACACCUUUGUUACUUGAUUUCUCCAACUUGUGCCUUAGUUGGUGAGGGAUGAAAGUGUAGCACACUGAGCCAAAUACUCUCAGAUGCUUCACAGAAGGCUUCCUUCCACUGAACACUUCGAAUGGUGUCUUCUCGUCCAGUGCUUUAGUAAGGCACCUAUUCAAUAGAUACACUGAGGUGUUCACAGCUUCACCCCAUAAUGUAUAAGGCAUGUUCUUCUCAUGCAUCAUAGACUUAGCCAUUUCAACUAUAGUCCUAUUCUUCCUUUCUGCAAUCUCAUUCUGUUGUGGUGAAUAUGCCACAGUGAGUUGCUUCUCUAACCCCACAUCUUCACAGAAUGCAUUGAACUCACAUGAGGUGUACUCACCUCCCCUAUCACUUCUCAGUCUUUUGAUUUGGUAUCCACUUUGCAAUUCCACUAUUGCCUUGAACUUCUUGAAUAUUGUGAAUACCUCAGACUUGAACCUCAUGAAAUACACCCAACACAUUCGUGAGUAGUCAUCAAUGAAGGUUAGGAAAUACCUGUUUCCACUGAUUUUUGUUGUUUUCAUUGGUCCACACACAUCUGUGUGAAUCAAUUCGAGUGGCUUUGUUGCCCUCUAAGCCUUGCCAACUUUGAAUGGAUCCCUGUGAUACUUCCCAAAUGCACAUCCUUCACAUGUUUCAUUGCAGUGAUCCAUCUUAGGUAUCCCUUGUACCAUUUCAUACUUUUGUAGAUUUUCUAGGCUUGUCAUGUUUAAGUGACCAAACCUCUUAUGCCAUAGUUCUAUAGAACCUGUCACACUUGCUUUCCUUGUCACUUCUUCUAAGUACUUCAACACAAGUGGAAAACUUCUGUUUAUCACUUCUACUUUGGUCACCAAAUUUGAUAAGAAUCUGUCAUCAUAGAUCUCAACCACAGUUCCCCCAAAAAGUAGGAAAUACCUAUGCUUCAUCAUUUGACCCACACUAAGUAGGUUUUCAUCCAAUCCUAGCACUAGCAUCACCUCCCUUAUGCAUCUUCUUCAUUUCUUGGUGUUGAUAACCAGAGUUCCUCUUCCAGUGGCCUUGAUAAUGUUUCCAUCUCCCAUUUUCACUUUUCCAGUGAAGUUUGUGUCAAUGUCAAUGAGUAAUGACUCAUGUGCAAUCAUGUGGUUACUGCAGCCACUAUCAAUCUACCACACUUCAUUGUUUUUCUCCACUUUUGCACUGAAGGCACAGAACACAUUUGCUUCUUCCUGCACUUGGUUUGCACAGUUCACUUGCUGCACAUUCUUUGAUCUGCAGUCCUUCAUAAUAUGCCCAAACCUGUUACAUUUGUGGCACCUAGGCUUGUCUUUGAACCAACACUCUCCAAGAUGAAAUUUGUCACAAUGUUUGCAUUGUUGUUUGGUUCUUGGACUUGCAUUAAUGUUGCUGCCUUGGUUAGGUCUAGAGUUGGGAAACCCUUUUCCUUCCCAUUUCUUAUUCUUGCUCUUCCACUGUGGUUUCUGAUUGCUUGCACUAGCUUGAUUACCAGAUCCAACAUUGAGCGAUUGAAAGGCUUUCUCAGGUGUAAAAUCAGCAUGCCUCUCGAGUCUUUGAUCAAAAGCUCUUAAGGAUGCCAUCACAUCUUGCACACUGAGAGUUUUAGUGUCUUUGGUUUCUUCUAUAACACUCACUAUUGAAUCAUAGGGUUUAGUCAAACUAAUCAACAGUUUUUGAACAAUUCUUUCAUUAGGCAGUUCCUCACCAUAUGUUUUCAUCUUGUUUACAACAUCAAACAACCUAGUGAAAUAGUCUUUUAACAGCUCAUUUUCCUUCAUUUUUGUAUACUCGAAAUCUCUUCUAAGGGACUGAAGUUUUACCUUUCUAACUUUAGUGUCUCCUCUGUACUCUUGCUGUAAAACUUCCCAAGCUCCCUUUGAAGUCUCUUCAUUUGCUAUCCUCGGGAAAAUGGUGUCUGAGACAGCACCUUGAAUAAUUCCAAGUGCUCUAACAUCCUCCAUUAGAUUCUGCUUCAGUGUUUUGAGCAUAGGAUUUGAGGCCAAGUGCUCUAGAGCAUCGAUCUCCAUCUCAGGUAGUUCAUACCCGUGUUGAACCAUAUCACAUAGAUCAUAGGAUUUGAAAAUGGUUGUCAUUCUUAUUCUCCAAAAAUCAUAAUUCUCCCCAUCAAAGACUGGAGCUUUUAGCUCACUGCUACUGCUGGAUCCCUUCAUUUUCAGAAUUGUUUGUUGGUUGUUGUUGUUGAGGACACUUCGUUGGUGCUCCCAAAAGUCUUAACUUUCACAGAUUAUGCCAAGAAAUAUUUUUUAUCAGUAACUGAGCUCUAAGGCCAUGUUAAAGUUGAUUUGUUUGUGGUGUUUUUGGUUAUAAUUUUGGAUCGGUUUCUUGGGGUAGAAUGGCAGAGAAUUGAGAGGAUAUUGGAGUGUUGUUUUCAACUUCAAGGUUGUGCUAAAAAAAUGCAGCAACCAUACAUAAUUAAGUAGGGAAAAUGUGUAAGAAUAUGGUACAUUUCCAUUACCCAUACUUGUGUAAAAGAGUUGGUGAAAGGACACUAUUUAAAACACUAAAUCACCUUACUACUCCAGAUUAAAUCCUAGCCCUUCAUUGGGAUUUAAGUGAUCUAAUCUGGAGUGUACAUUUAUCAUUCACACAUUUAAACGAAACUAGCCGGUUUGAGGCCAACCCUUCAUUUCUUCUUCUUCCUUCUUCGAUGCAGACAACACCCUUUGCUCAGGAGCUCCUUGCUGCCUUCGACCCCUCGACUCCAGGAGCUGGUUAGCUUCCAACAUUUUCAAUAAUAAUGAACACAUACAGAGAUGAUGAAUGGUGAGCUAAAAAAUAAAAAUAUGUCAAUAAGCAAUGAGUUAAAUGCAAAUGAAUUGCUUCUUUCUUUUAUUUCUGUGACUAGUUAUGGUUAUUCACUAAGAAAGUAGUAAGAGAGGACCUGUAAGUUGAUAUGUUUUAUUGGCAGCAGAAACGGGCAUGUGGACUAUGGCAACAAAAAACAAAGACAACGUACUCAUUUCUGCCAUCCACCGUAGGGUUCGGUCAAGCUUCGCUAUGAUGCUGAUGUUCCUCGACUCUUGCAGUGAUGUGCAGAAACCAUUUGGAACACAUUCAUGCAGAAUGUUUCUUGCGGAGCUGGCUAACCCAACACAUAGAAGUAGAUUCUCUAAUGUGAUCAUUACCAUUGCCAGAAGAGUCAACAACUUGAUUAAUGAACUUAUGACUUCUGACUAAAUAUUUAUACCAACCUCUUUUCCUUUUUGGUUUGUAAAGCAUGUCUAGAUCAGCAAACUAAGCUAUUCAAACCCACAGAUAUGGCUUCCGAUGGUACUGCUAGUUUUUUGGGUGUUUAAUACAGUAAUGCAUUUAGAAAAACAAAAAAAAGAAAAGGAAGUACCUUUGCGUUCUGGCCGAACUCUUUCUUGAAGAUUCCAAAUGAACCGGGGCCGCAGACGUCAUGGGUCAUCAAAACGUCGACAUCAACCCAAACAUUCUCACCCGGACUCAGCUGGGUUCUCUCAGAAGCUCGAGCAAAUAUCUUCUCAGUCAUCGUCAUCCCCUUCUUAACCUGAAAAUUAACCAAAAAACCCGCCAAAUGGAGAUUCUCAUCAAUCCUAAUCGUACAAAACAAUGAAAAAAAAAGUUCAUCCUAACCGAGCCGGUGGUGGCGGGCUUGUGCUCCGAUUGCUGCGGAGCCAUGACGGAGCAAAUUUUCUUGGAUUUUCUCUUGCAUUUCUGACUGGAAAUCGGCUUUGCGAAGGAGAAAGCAGAGAGAUUCAGAUCCUUCUGAGGUUGAAAUCAAAUUCAGCAAUGGUUUAGUGAAAACCCAACAACAAAAAUUGGAGGAAAAAAAAAAAGUUGGAGCCAAAAAACAAAGGGGACCUUGUUGCUUUUGAGUUAUGAAGGAGGUGGACGGCGGAGCAGCGGUGGAGCAAGCCAUGGGUGUCAGAAUGCAAGUUUAUGCGGCGUAACUCUGAUGUCUCUGCAGAAGAAGAAGAAAGCGACGAAGAAGUGGAAGAGUUGUGUUUUGGUUUUGCUACUUUGUGGGAAGCGGCGGCUGAGUGGCGUGUGUUUUGGAGUGGCUGUGACUGUGAGGCAGAAAUGACAUGUGGACGUGUGUAGUUGGUGUUGCUUUAUUUUAUGUUGUCCGGAGCGGGAGCUCGAUCAUCUGCGACAAUGCAGCAGGCGACCAAACUUACGUAGCAGCAAAAUAACAUGCGUUUCCUGCAACUUAUUACAUUUUAAAUUUAAAACAUAGAUUAGUGUACAGUAUUAUUUGGCAACGGUUAUUAACAUUUCAAAAAUCUCAUUUUACACUCUUCACAAGUAUAAUUUUUUUACUAAUUAUAAAAAGUUUGAAGUGUAAAAUGAGAUUUUUUUAGUGCAAGGAUAAUUUUCUAUUAUUUAUUAAAAAAAUGAAAAGCACAAUUUGUACCUUAAAUAUAAGAAUGAUGAUAAAAGUUGACCUGAUAACUAUAAUCAUGUUAUAAUUAAAAUGUAAAAAUAUAAAUAAAUAAUGUGAUUGUUGUAUCAACUCACAUGUUGCUUCAACCAUUCUGAAAAAUCUUUCUUGCUUAGCUCCUGAAUUUGUCGAAUAGUUAACAUUUCUUGACGAUGUUUCAUUUUCAAGAAUUCCUCAUGUUGCCUGGGCAUUUAUGUCCAAAUUUAGAUAAUUAAUUUUUCAAAGUUAAGAAAACCAAUAAAACAUUAAGACGUAAGAUUAAACGUUCUUACCUUUUAAAUGGGUUAACUUCAUUACAAUUAUUUAGAAUGUAGUUAUGGCACUGAUCAAGAACAUUUAGAUCGAGCUCCACAUUUUCUCCUGAACCCAUAUAACAUCUUUUGGAGUCAAAAAUUGAUAACCCACCAGACACUCCACGUCCAAUACCAUCUUCAUUUCGGCCUCUACGGGUGCGACGAUACUCUACAUCUCUAAGAUACAUGGAACAGAAGGAUAAGCACUCAUCCACCAAAUAUGCUUCAACAAUAAAACCUUCAGGACGACCCUUAUUACGAACAUAGCACUUCAACGUUUGCAAAUACCUACAAUUAUAAAUGAAACACAAAUUAUUAUAAUUAUAAAUUAAAGCUAUGACUACAAUUGUAAAAAAUUUAUAAAAAUUUAUUAACUACCGUUCAAUUGGAUACAUCGAUCUAUAUUGAACAGGCCCUGCAAAAGCUGUUUCAUCUGCCAAGUGAACUGGAAGGUGCACCAUUAUAUCAAAAAAUGCAGGAAGGAAUAUUUUUUUCAAGUUGACAUAAUGUCAAGGCAAUUCUUGAAUUCAGUUGCUUGAAUCUUUCCUCAGACUCCUUCUUACUACACAACCGUCUGAAAAUUACACUCAACUCUAAUAAUACCAUAGUAACAGCUUUAGGCAAAACCGUGCGUAUUGCAAGCGGGAGUAACUGCUGCAUUAAAACAUGGAAAUUGUGACUUUUCAACCCAUGUAUUUUUCGUUCAUUCACGUGCACACAUCGCGAUAAAUUUGAAGAAUAUCCAUCGGGGACCCGAAUGGUAGACAACACUUUGCAAAACGCAGUUUUUUCUUCUCUUUUCAACAUGAACAAUGCUGAAGGUAGAAAUGUUCUAUUUCCUUCUCUACAUGGGUGUUGAAUACGUCUUAUGUUCAAGACUUCAAGAUCUACACGUGCAGCUAAUCCAUCUUUAGACUUUUCUAUAUCUAGCAAUGUUCCUACCACACUGUCACAUAUAUUCUUCUCAAUAUGCUUAACAUCAAGAUUGUGUCUAAUCAACAGAGGCCUCCAAUAAGGUAGUUCAUAAAAAUAGAUUUCUUCUUCUACUGACUGUUACUACUUGUACUGCCCGAAGUUCUUUUUCUGCGUUGCCCAACAGAAGCAUCUUUGUUUGGUUUUCCAAAAGUAAAUCUCAAUCUAGAAAGUUCUUCGAGACACUAUAAACCAGUCCAUUGCCUUGGUGCACUACGAUGCUCUCGACGAUCAUUAAAAUUUAUGGUUUGCCUUCGAAACUUAUGAUUAUCUUCAAGAAAGCGUCGAUGCCCCAUAUAACAAAUCUUACGACUCGCCAGCAAAUAAAUAGAUUCUUCAUCAUGCAUGCAAUGUGGACAGGCUUUAUAGCCAUGUGUACUCCAUCCUGACAACAUUCCAUAAGCCGAAAAAUCACUUAUAAUCUAUAAGACAGCAGCUUUCAUCGUAAAACUUUGGUUGGAAUAUGCAUCAUAAGUGGGAGUGCCCACCUCCCACAACUCAUUCAACUCGUCAAUCAGUGGACACAUGUAUACAUCAAUCUCUUUACCAGGACUGUGCGGUCCUGGUAUUAAUAGAGACAACAACAAAUUUGGUUGUUUCAUGCACAUCCAGGGCGACAAAUUGUAAACAGAAAGCACCACAGGCCAUGUCUCAUUUUCCCAAAAGGAUUAAAUUCAUCACUGGCCAACCCUAAUCUGACAUUUCAAAUUUUUGACACAAAAUCCGGAUAUAAAUUACCCAAAUGCUUCCAUGCUGGAGAAUCUAAAAGAUGCCUCAUAAACUCAUCCUUAGGACAUUCAGUUGCAUGCCACCUCAUAUGUUCAGCCGUAUGCUUCGACAUAAAAAAUUGUUGCAAUCAUGGUUUUAAAGGAAAAUACUACAUAACCUUAGCUGCGAUCUUUUUUCUCGAGCUAUCCUCUGCGUUGGUAAUUUUAUAUCUUGAUUCACCACAAACCGAGCACACGGUCAACUCCGAAGUAUCUUUCAAAUAGAUCAUGCAAUCAUUAGGACAUGCAUCAAUUUUCACAUACAUCAAACCCAAAUCAUUUAUAAGUUUUUUUGCCUUAUAACAGGAUUCAGUCAAACAAUCUCCUUCAGGCAACAUUCUUUUAAUUAACUCCAGUAAAGUGGUGAAGAUCUCGUAUGGCAUUCCUGUUAAACACUUGAUUUGAUACAGUCUUACAACUGCUUCCAAUUUCUUAAACUCUUUACAUAUUGGCCACAAAUCUUGAUCUAUCUCUUCAAGCAACCUAAAAAAAGUCUCCACCUCUUUUGGACGCCUUUCCCCAAUAGGGGGUUUAGUAGACGGCCCAACACCUUCUUCUGUUAAUGGUUGGACAAAUACAUCAUUAAGAAAAUCAUGCAUACCAGCCACCUCAUCUCCUGUUUCUUUUUCUCCGAUUGCCACAUUUUGCUCUCCAAUGUUUUUCUCACCAUGAUGUCGCCACCAAGCGUUUUUAUAAUCUUUAUCCAUAUCAUACAAUAUGAGAUGUUCAACACAGUGUUCCUAACAAAAGUAUAUCGAUUACAACAUCUUUUGCAAGGACAUCUAAACUUAUCAGGGCCAACACCAUUUGCAACUGCUUGGUCCGAAAACAAAUUAAUUCCAGCUGUAUAAGCUUCCAAAUUUCAAGCUAUCGUCAACCAACUCCUGUCCAUGUUUUACCACUUUACGAGGGCAAAAUAUUACGUUGACACUAAGAUGCCUACAAUCUUUCAAUCCUUAUCAUGUAGGCAUAACUAUUAGAAUUUUCAAUUUCUAUCUUUCAACCCUCGAACUCUAUCACGAUUGCAAUCUUUAAUUUUCAAUACCUAUUAUAGUAAAAACAAAUUAAAAUAACAACAAAAAGUUAUCAAAAUUAUGUUCAUCUAAUCCAUUCUAGUAAAUAACAACCAAAAGUUAUCAAAGUUAUCAAAAUAACAACAAAAACAAAUUAAAAUAACAAUUAGAGUGCAAAACAAAUUAAUUUAACAUAAUAUAUUCUUAUAUUACUAAAUAUUAUAAGUUUAUGUUAUAUUUAAUAUGUCAAUUUUGUGAUAACCCGUCCCUAAUUUUAAGAGUUUUUAAAGUUUUAAUAAAGGAUUUUACAAAAAUGCCCUUUGAGGCACGCACAUUAUUCGAGGUUAAUCGUUGUGUCGUGCCAUCUAAGAUUUGUUUUCUUAACAUAUCCUCGUAGUACUCGUCGCUACGGGCGUGUGGGCGCUGACGGUUCAUGAUUUGGAGUUAUAUCAAAAAAGUUAUUAACGUUUGAAAUUUGGGAUUUUAAGGAAUUAUAAUUUUAGUAAAAUCCAGAAUUUCUUUUAUGAAAAUGGACGGCCCAGAUUUAAUGAAGAAUGAAAUGGAUGGCUUGGAUGUAAGAGAAAGAAAAUAAAAAUAAAAAGAUGAAAGAAGGUUUUGUGUGUGUGUGUACGUGAAAGGAAGAAGAAGAAGAUGGAGGAUUGGGCAAAGCUGCCCAAUCGGAACAAGAGAGAGGGAGGAGUUGGGCCAACCAGAAAGAAGAGAAAGUGGAGGACCAAUCAGAGGGAGAAGAAAGGAGGAAAGGAGAGAGGGCGAGAAGCGGAGGAGAGAAGGAAAGAAACGGGUUUUCCCCCAACCCGUUUACCAGCGCACCCACCUCCAUUUUCCGACGAUUUUCACCGGAUUUCUCACGAAUUGGAUCAAGGUACCACUCCCAAUCAACACCUAGGCCUUCCCUCUUCAUGUUUCAACCCAAAAAUCAUGAAAUUUGAUGAUGAUUUGGUGAAAACCGCACCCGUGGGUGCCUCGACUUUUUGUUCAAAUCUUGAAAUGUUUUCUUUCAAUUACUAACACCAUUAGCAUUCCCCUAGGACCUGGAACAAAGCCCAAGCAUUGGUUGGGACGGCGGAAUUGAUUUGAAGGUCGAAUUGAAAACACCAAAUUCUAGGGUUCUUCACGGUUUUGGUGAGAUUGGAGCUCUUCCAGGCCAAAUUGGCCUUGGCCACAGGUAUAAAGUUUUCUCUACUCAUUGAGAUCUUCAAUUCUGUAUUUUUUGAGAAUUUUUGGAAAUAGUUGGAUUUUCCGGCAAGCCGGGGCGGCCAACCGCCACCCGCGGUGGCCCGUGCGGUGGCGCGUGGCCAAUGGCCCUCCAAUAUCAUUCUUGGCAUGUGCUUAAGGUUCUAGGUUCAGUUUUGAUAAUUGAUGGACGUAAAUUGAAUAAUUGAACCUAAGUUCGUUACGAUUCGUGGUUAGGUGAAAAUGUGAAUUGACGAUCUGACCGUUGGAUCAUCACCAAACUUUGAUACGUUGUAAUACGUAAUAUUUGAGGAUUAUAGGAACUUACGGAUUGGAAAUACGAUUUACGGAUCUUCCGGAAUUGGAGUUGUAAGUUCAUAAAAUAGAAUGUUAACCGUCACUUGGUUUUGGAAAUUGACGGAGAUCCGACCGUUGGAUGGUAAUGAAAUUUUAGGAUGUUGUCCUAGAGGUAUAUUGUGGACCUCUGGAAGUUAUGGAUUUCAAAUCUGAGUUGCAGAUCUUCCAGAUCGAACUGCGUAGUGAUGUGUUUUAUAUAAGUUAUAUUCUAUCGAUAUGAUUUCUGAGGUUGGAUUUGAUUAUUGUUCUAGGCGCCGAUCGUCAUGACGCCUUGAUGUGUUGUGCUAGGGAGUUGUUGGGCGAACUCCAGGUGAGUGGGCAGUACUUUCUAUUUAUACCUAUAUACUAUGAAUUUUCCCAGAAAUUGAGUUUUAAUGAAAGUAUGUUUCUAAAAUGCCAUGCAUGCAUAAUAUGAAUGAUAUGAAUGAUAUGAGUUAUAUGAAUUGAUAAUUGAUGCAUAUAUAUAUAUAUAUAUAUAUAUAUAUAUAUGUGUGAAUUGGUGUUGUGGACGCACAGGUAAGUAUCAGGGGAGUUUUAUAUUAUUCAUGUGAAUCAUUGAUGAUGUAUAUUAUGUUGAUAGCUCAUAACCUGCAAUCAUGGUGUUAGUGCUUAUAUUAUUCACCUCGCACCGCACACUCACUUUGGAUCCAAGUAAGUGCAUGUCGUACAGACCAUGAGAGGGUUCCGACAUGUCGUACAGACCAUGAGAGGGUUCCGACUGAUAGGUGACCUUAGAUUAUGUGCACAGAUGAUUGAUGAGAGAAGCACUAGAGCGUAUUAUUACACCAUUCAUGUCAUACAGACUACUUCAGGUAGUUCCGACUUAUAUGCAGUGUAGUGCCGCACAGGUCACCGAGGUGACUCCGGUUGGAUUGGAUGUUGAGCUAUAGAAUUAACCGUACAAGACCAACUGCAGGGUAUCCGGUUAAUUCACCAUUUCACCUAUUACAUUGAUGCAUCAUUCAUUCUGUUUUUGAAAUUAUAACAUGGCAUACUUUCUGGUUUUUGAGAAAAAUUGAUGAUUUGAGAUUUAUGAAAAGUAUAAUGCUAUUAUGCUAUUUUCUGGGAAAGUAUACAGGUUUUACAGCGAGCAGUUAGAAAUGUUUUAAAUGAAAAGUUUUCGAAAAAAUUUGUUUUGCUGACCCACUCAAUUUUGUUUUGCGCCCCUCCAGGUUCUAGAUAGCAGAGCUUUGGUGGCCACGAGGAAUCCAACGGUGUUCUGACAGAAUUCACAAAAGUAGGACUCACCCUCGGGUGUUUCAUCUUAGUAAUUGUAUUUUUAAAGCUUCCGAACUGUGUAAAUGGUUACGUCACUCUCACGUGACGGCCAGCAUGCCCUCCUUCGGGACGGGGUGUGUCAAAUUUCACAUAAAUGCUUAUAAAUAUUAUUCAUUUCCAUUUUCUCAUAACAAUUCAAGUGACAAAAUUAAUUAAUUCGACUAAAUAUUUAUUAAUUUAACAAAAAUAGUAGAAAUUUAUCUAAGUACUUAAAUUAGAACUUUUAAAUAAAUAAACUUGUGUAUUAUACAAUUUAAAAAUUAAAGAAUUUAGUGAUAGAAACCUGAAUUAUGGAAGAAUUCCGGCGUCGAUCAAAUCUUUAUGUACUUAACCAACUCAAAUAAAUUCCCUACAAAAAUAAAUUGUAAAUAAAAAUUAAACAUGAGUGGAGAAAAUAAAAAUAUUAGAAGCAAGAAAAACUUACUGUUGUGAAGAAUGAACAAAUGAAGUAGGAAGAACAAAUAAGAAAGGUGCAAGAGAGAAAACACGGGGAGGGUUUGAAAUUGGAAGAACGAACAAGAAAAAUGCAAGAAAGGAAGAAGAAAACACGGGGUAAAGUAUAUAAAUACCAUUAUUCUGUCACUUGCAACCGACACCGGGUUUUAAAAUAUUUAAAAAAACUAAAAUCUAUGCCGCUCAGAACCGACGCAAGCUUUAAAAUAUUUAAAAACAAGGACAAGUUUGUGUGGCGUCGAAAUAUGGACAACUUUGUGUUGGUUAAAACCGAUGUUCCCUGACAGUCUUGACAGUCGUAAUAGGCGGCCUCGAAAUAGAACAAGUUUGCGUCGGUUCAAACUGACGUGAGCCUGACAUGUCAGUGCACUUGGAUGUGGCGUCAAAAUAAGGAAACUUCUGCGUUGGUUAAAAACGACGCCAACACUCACUGAAAAAUCUCUUCCAGUCGUUUGCCCCUACACUCAUAAUUUAUGUUGCUUAAAAGCGACACCAAUAUUUAAAAAUAUUAAAAUGUAUGUUUACAUCGGUUUAAAAGCGAUACUAGUAUUUUAUGACGCUUAUAAGCGACAGUAAAUCUGACGUCAUGUUCAGUUAGUGUCGCAACUGUCUUGUCUACCACUAUAUUAAAUUAAACCGACACCACCCACUGACACUAUAAGACCAUUUUGUAGUAGUCUGUAGUUUUCAUUGAAGUUUUAACCAAAUUUACUCGUGUGAUUGUCAUGUGGAAGGGGUAAAGCAAAAAGUUUAGCGUAUUAGUCAAACUUUUACUAUUUUAUAUAAUUAUAUAUUUAUACUAAUAGAUCGAAUGAAAAUUAGUUUCAAAUUGUCGUAUAAGAAAUUUGAACUUAAAACUUCUUACUUGUCAUUUAUAUGUGAAGAAAAUAUCAUCAUAUUAUAAUAUUAUGUGAUAAACAUUAUUUCAUACUUAAACCCUUUUAAUGAUUUUUUAAUGAGACACACAUGAAUAAGAUUGAGCAAAUUAUAUGAGAAACCCGAUGUUGAUGGCAAGUUUUUUUUUUUUUUUUUUUUUUGGCUUUUGAAGGUACGUAUAAAACUCCGAAGGAUGAUAUUGAUUUAUCACGAAGCCACAUUCAGGAAUUUAGAGAUGCCCAGCCGGAAAAAUCAAGGGAGAAUGAGAGCUGAGGGAAGCCCUCGACGUCAGUAUUUGUUGGGCAAAACGUUCGGUGGAAACGUCCCAGUUUUGGGACUUUGAAUAUUAACUGUGAUGGGGCAUGGAGUGGAAAAUCGAUGUUAGGUGGCUAUGGGUGGGUGGUGAGAGAUUUUGCGGGACUUUUGAAGAUGGCUGGUGGGUUGGGGGCCGAGUUUUUUAAUGGUGCAAAUAUGGCGUAGCGCCGGGGGUAGCUGCAAUUCGUGUAGCUUUGGUGAUGUGCAGAGACUUGAAUUAUGAGAUGGUAGAGAGAGAGUCUAAUGCUCUCUUACAAGUUACAACAUGAUAAAUGGGGAAUGCUCUAUUGAUGCAAGCUUGGAAUGUUUCAUUUUUUAUAUUAAGACAUUGGCGUCUCAGAUUAGAGAGGUGGAGUUUAUGUAUGUUAAUAGGAGUGGUAACCUCAUUGCCCAUGCAAUGGCUUCCUGUGCUACCUCGCGUGGUGGUUUGUUCCAGUGAGAUCUUAUGGCCAUAAAUUCUUUUUUUAAUAUUCUUGCAGAAGAUGCAAAUGUUUCUAUUAGAAUUUAAUAAAAUUUAUCCUUUGACAUAAAAAAAAAAAUCUCUUAUUAACAAAUUUAUUGUUAAUUGUUUUGUUUAAUCGGCAUAGCUGACAUUACCAAAAGAGAGUAAAGGAUAAUUGAAGAUUAUAGUAGUGCUAUUUGAGGAGAAAUUUUUGUGUGUAUUGAGAAUACGGUCCGGUAUGUAUUGAGACUACGGUUUGGUACAUUAAGUAUGUGGAUUUGUAUUCACGAUGGAGUAGAAGGAAGACUAGCAUAUUCUAUAACCAUGGCGGAGACAAGAGUGCAUGGACUAACCUAUUUGGUUGUAAUCCAAAGUAUCGUGAGAUUGUAGUCCACAAUGGCCAUUUGUUUGCAUUGGUCGGGGACCAAUAAGUUCUUGUUUGGGACUCAGUUAAACUAAAUAUGGUAAAUACAAAAAAUAUAUAUGACAAUAUUCAGGAAUUUUUUGUAUAUUUAUUAAUCUUCAAAGUGGAGUUACUAAUGGUAUUACCUAUACACUUCGUCAAUGUGGGAUAACAUAUUACUAUUUACACCUUAACUAAUAUACAACUCGCAACACUCCCUCUCAAGUUGGAGGAGCAAAGAUGUCACACAUGCCCAACUUGUCAAGCGAGUUGGAAAACACACUAUUAGACACAGCCUUAGUAAGCACAUCAACGUGUUGAUCUUCAUAUCCCAUAAACAGAAACAAAAUAAUUCCAGCAUCCAAUUUUUCCUUGAUGAAAUGUCGAUCAAUCUCCACAUGUUUUGUUCGAUCAUGCUACACUGGAUUAUAAGCAAUCUCAAUAGCAGCCUUGUUAUGACAAUGGAGAUUCAUAGCACCCUUGCGUUUAAAUCUAAGAUCUCUUAACAAUUUUUUCAACAACAACUCACAUACACCAUGAGACAUACCUCGAAACUCAACUUCAACACUUGACGUAGCCACCAAUUUUUGUUUCUUGCUUCUCCAAGUAACUAGAUUAUCACCCACAAAUGCAAAGUAUCCAGAUAUAAAUUGCCGGCCAGUGAUAGAACUUGCCAAAUAUGCAUUUGUAUACCCUUUGACAUUCAAAUGAACAUUCUUGGAGAAAACCAAGCCUCUGUCAGGAGCCAUCUUCAAGUACCUCAAAAUACAGAUUACUGCAUCUAUAUGAGCUUCACUAGGUGAGUACAUAAACUGACUUACCACAGUAACUGCAUAAGUAAUGUCAGGGCGAGUGUGAGACAAAUAAAUUAAUCUCCCCACAAGCCUCUGAUACCAUUCCUUAUGAGUAGGAACUUGAUCCGGAAAUAAACCCAUACAAUGAUUCUACUCAAUCGGAGUAUCAAUAGGUUUGCAAUCUAACAUACUUGUUUCAGCUAACAAAUCAAGAACAUACUUCCUUUGAGACAGAAAAAUACCAUGUUUCGAUCGUGCAACCCUGAUUCCAAGAAAAUAUUUCAAUUCACCCAAUUCUUUCAUCUCAAAUUCAUUAGCUAGGUACUUUUGAAGGCACUGUAUCUCAUUCUAAUCAUCACCAGGCACUAUCAUGUCACCAAAAUAAAUAAUCAAUACAAUUAGCUUACCAUUUUGUCUCUUGGCGUAGUGAAGCUGAGGUGAGUCUUGGAACGGUUCAAAGAUUUCGCAACUAAGGUCAUAUCAUAGACCUCCAAGAUAUUGCGAUAUCCCUAACAGUAAAGACAUAACCAUUUGGCAGCAUAACAAACAAGACAAGCAUCAUUAUGAGGAUCAAGGGGGUCGGUUGGCUCACGAUACAUUGGGAUAAGCCCAAUCUGUAGUACCUUUCAUAGAAAUACAUCUUUAAUACCAAUUCAGUGGAUGCAUGUAGGCGUGGUGUUGCAUCUUUACCAAUAGAUCAACAGCGAAUGAGAUAUCAUGUCUAAUGCAAUGAGGCAAGUAUAACAAAGCGCAAAGGUUGAACUCAGAUAUGGAACUUCAGAUUCCAUAACCUUUUCAAGGGUCUCAUUUGCAUAUAGCGUAUGGUAGAUCAUGUGUAUACUCAAAGGUAACACCUUCGUGGUGUAGUUCGAUUGGUAGCCCAAAAUACCGUCAGAAUAAUGCUUGAACUUCAUAUCAAGGCUUAAACGAGUUUUUCCAAGAUCCAUCAUCUCAAAUUUUGUCUUCAGGUACGAGGCAAUUUUCUCAAGCUCUUCCAGAGUCUUAGUGAGAUUUAUGUCAACGACAUAAACUGCAACUAUAUCAAUUUGGAAUAAGACUUCAUAGUUUAACACGCAAGGGGAUUCAUUCAUAUCCCUAAUUGAUCAAAUAAUCACUUAGAUGGGUAUACCACAUCCGGCCACAUCCGCCGAAUUGCUUCAAUCCAUAAGUGAACGCCUUAAAUGAGUUGAUAAGGUGUUAUGUGGUUUGGAAUUAUUUGAACCAGUCCAUGUAAUUCUUCAGGAACUUAGGCGUAAAUCUCCAAAUUAAUAUCCCCAUGGAGAAGCACUAACCAUAUUCAUAAUGCUACUGUCAAUCACAAACAUUGCACUGUUUCGUUCAUCUCAUUACGCUUCAUUUCUUACUUGUAACACAACCUUGGGCAGUGUAGGAACUACAGGUCCAAACACACCUUGAUAAGGAAUUUAACCUGGUUUGAGAUUUCGGUUGUCUAAUUAGUUCUACGUUGUCAAUAAUCAACAGAACACAUUUUGAUAUCGUUGUUUUUCAUUUAUGUCGAUAGCUAACAUACAAGUGAAAACAUCAUCGAUGAUAAUCUCAUUCCAAUUCCAUUAUCUCAUUCACACUAUUAUAUUGGACCAAGAACUUCAAGUCUCAGGAGUAAUCCAGAUUAAUCUCAUGAGAUAAAACGAUCGAGUAUUCUUGCAAAGGCUCUAAGGGAGCUAGUGCGCAGGAGAAUCAUAAUCGACAAAGAUUCACAUCCUUCUUUGAGGACCCAUAACGGUGCAACUUGGCACAUGGAAUGCACACCCAAAUGCGUAAAUACAAAACGUCAGGUUUGUACCUAGUAACCAACUAUAACGUCAAAUAGGUUAGGUGGUAAUGGGCCUCAAGGCAGACCAAUAUAGCUGCGUACAAGAUUGCAUAGCCCUAGACCGAAACCGAAAGCUUGGUGUGUUAACCAAGGUCCAUGCGAUCAUUGAAUUGCGCUUUAUGAUCACUCUGCAAGGUUGUUUUGCGAUGAACAUGGGAAUUCGAUGUUCAAUUAUAAACCCAAAAGACAUGCAAUGUUUUAUCAAAAAUCGUCUAUAUAAACUCUUUAGCAUUAUCUAGUCUUCUAGACUUUAUGGGAUAAUUAGGGUGGUCAACCCUUAAAAUCAACUAGGAGGUUUAGCAGCAAUGUGUGUGGACAAACAUGUGACCAUUUUGUUCAUAUAUCAACCAAAACCAUAAGUAUUUAUAUGGUCUACAUUUUGGUUGGAUUAGUCCACACAUAUUCUCUUGAAUCCACUGUGAAAAGAGGGUGAUUUUGUAUCUUUGCAAGGAAUGAUAGAAAAUCAAAUUCCCUUUUACGAGUGGGCUUGGUGAAGUGUGCGUGUAAGCACAAGAUCCUUACUUCGGGUAAGGAGAUGUUUCGUAGCACCAUUGUUAGACCUAAGUGUCCCAAAGUGUCGUGCCAAAGUAAGUAAACUACUCGAAUCGUCCUGCUACAGGCCGGCCACAUGUGGUGUGUUCCCAGUUGGGAGGCAGCAUAUUGGCCCUAAAAUAUGGCUUCGGGCUUUGUAUUUUGGAGGUGGUGCAAAGAUAUUCCACUCUAUUUUCCAUUAGUGGUUUCAUUCAUGUUUAUUGUCAUCUCGAAUAUCCUUAAAACUCAACGACGUUCUUCUCAAACGAGGAGAAUAUAAGGUCUCUCAAAUGGAAUUUAGUACCAUUCAUACAAUGAGGACCAUGCCAAUGCUCUUAAUCAAGUUGGAUAGACCUGAAGUCAGUUACUAGAGAUGUGAUUUAGGAUAAAAUUAGUGUGCAUUGUAUUGCAUUCAUCCAGACAAUUAACUUUCCCACAUUCGUACAUAAUCAUGUGUUUAAUUGAAUUCAGUCACAUGUAUUAGAAACAUGAUUCAAUUAACUCAUAUUUGAGGACAAUAUUGUUCAGAUUAUCCGUAACUAAAACAAACACCAAAUGUGAAUCCAAGAAUAUAGAAAAAUGAUCACAAAGUAAACCAAAGUUACUAAGGUGGAUUCGGCCGACAAGUUUAUUCAAUUCAAAAUUCUGCUCUUCCAACAAUGUUCGGUGACUACAAGAAUGGUACUCCUCAACGACAUUGGUAGGGGCAUGAACAGGUAUGUAACCAAUGAUCUAUUCCAUUGAGACGGAAGUAGAUUCUGUAGGGUUGAGGUUCGAGAACAAUAUCUCUUAUUCUUGAAGUGUUAGGUCUUAGGUGCCGAUCACACUUCAGGCGUGACACCACACCUUGGCAGGACCUGAUUCUAUCAUAUGUUGUAAAAACAAAGUCGAAAUUAGAUUGUGAGAGAGAGAUAGACCCAUACUUGGGUUCGAUAGGCUCUAACCGAAACUGAAGGGGUCUAUUUGGUAGGCCUCUGCUAAAGCAGAGCAAUACCAUAUCUAUCUGGCCUAGUUAAAGAUAUAAUUGGAGAAAGUUAAAAUAAAAUUAAUAAACAUAUUCAGGGAUUGUUUGAUUGAAAAGUGUUGGAAAAUAUUAGUAUUUUGGUUUAUUUGAAUGUUUGGUUUUCUGGGUUUAGCCAGUUAGAAUUAGGUUUUGUUAGAAAUUAGGGUUAGUUUAUUAUAAAUAGAGUGCUUUGUUAUUCAUUAGAAAAGAAAAUAAGCUAGUCACAAUGUAGUCUCUUAGGGUUUUGUAGUCGUUCCGGCAUUCUCGUUUGUUUAAUAAUAUUCCUAUUAUUUUGUUAGUCUUGUUCGUUGCGUACUCUGAUAUUCAACUAAGGCGAACCGAGUACACAAUGAGGAAAGUCUGUCCCAAGUAACCGAAGAUGGCAUCUACUUCCUUCCGGACUCCUGGACACCCAGCUAGUUGUUUAAAUUAAGUAUGCUAUAUAUCCUUGGCGUUCAACUAUGUUAAAGAGCCACUCCAUUUAACAUGAGGCAACAACUUCAGCAUUGUCACAGAAGCUACUGUUGGAACUGAUGACCGAGAUGAAGCCUCUUUCCAGUACGGAGCUGAUUGAACAAUAAAACGUAGUUGAUUAUUACCCGAUGCUUCCGAGUAAGCUUGCACUCCAUCACCUAUAUUGAGCACAUUUACCAGAUGCACCAGAAGUCAAGGUGCAUUUUGUUUUUGAUCUCCAGGUAACUGUAAACCUGCAUGAAUAUACAAACCCAUCUACAGAAAAUCACACACAAUCAUACACGCUUUGAAUGACAAGUUUUAAAGAGACGCGAGACGUCUAAAAUCAUAAACAAUUACGAGAAAGUGAAACAAAGAACCAAAUGCAAAUAUGAAGACAAAAAUGUAAAAGCUGACCAAGGACCAAAAUAGUGUACAACAUAUGAAUGAAAACAUCAACUGAAAUUGAUCAAGCAAAGUGAUUGACAACAAUGCACCAAUGAAAAGCAGAGAACUUUCUGAAAAAAGGUUAACUUCGCCAAAAUUAACAGCAGCUAGGAGAAGAUUCUCCAAAUCUUUAAUUUUGGCAGCCUCAGCCUUGUCCAGAGUAGGAACAAUUGGAAUGCCUUGACAAGUUCUGAAACAGUAAGCUUUUCGAGUAUCAGCCUACACUUUUUCUAACUCUCACCAACGCUCCAAUCAUAUUAAUCCUCUCCUACGUACACACAACGACUGAAACUUCUAGAUUUGAAUAGCAUACACAAAAUGCCUAAAACCCAGAUAGAGAAAGAAAAAGAGAAAGAAAUGAGGUGAUUAACGUAUUAUUAAUAAAGGAUCUGAUUAAUGUAUUAAGGGAUUAAAAGUAGAUAUUGAUCUUACUCAAGGUUUCAGUCUAGAAGUCAUUUUUGUCAAAGAUUAGAAUGAAGUUUCCUAUAAAAAUAUAUUGCUCAUAAUUAAUAUAAGUUCCCAUAAUAAGAAAUUCAUAUGUUAUCAUCUAUUCUUCAUGGGUGUGAAUUUCACCAUAUACAUGCACGUUAAGUACCUACGUUUUUAUUAUAGUUAAGUACUGAGACAUAUGUACCCAAACCUUUGCACUAAUACAUUUUUAUCGUAACUUAAGUACCAAUACAUUCGUACCAAAAUUUGUACUGAAACUUACUUACUAUGAGCUUUCUUAAUAUAAGUUUUUUUGUAUUGUUUUUAAUUAUAAGAAUUUGAAGUUUGAAUAAAUUUUCAUCUAUUAAUGUAAUUGGAGCUUAAACGAAAUACAUUAAUUGUGGAAUGGUAAAGAAUUUCGGAUAGUGAGUUUAAAAAUAAUAAAUGUGUUAUAAGUAUUUAAACACGGUGAGUCUUAAGUGGACUUGGAUUCUCUGCCCUCCCCGUGCCCUCCUGUUUGUGUGGUCACGGUUAAGCCACGUCAAUAUUUUAUAUUACUAUUUUUUUUUUUGUCUUAUUAUUUUUAUAAAAAAUAAUAUAAAAUGUUAGCAUAGAUUAACCGUGACCACACAAAACAGGAGGGCACAGGAAGAACACCGAAAUGGGAGGGCAGAGAAUCCAAGUCCGUCUUAAGUAGGGACUUGAAUUAGAUUUAGAAUACAAUUCAGCCUGGAAUUUAAAGAGAAUCUUAUUUGAGCCCUAAAAUUUAAAAGCCCAUAAAAUUUAUUUUCCUAAAUAAUAAACUACUUUUCCUAUGAACCCUCUUCACCAUGACUGCAACUACAAGCUCAGACUGCGAGAAUUCCGGCUCCUUAGCCAUGUCUUCAACUAAAAGCUCUCCAGCGUGCGCGGAAAUCACCAUGACUGCAACUAAAAGCCCAGACCCCGAGAAUCCCGACUCCAUAGCCAUGUCUGCAACUGAAAGCUCUCCAUCGUGCGCCCAAAUCUGUUUGGCCGUCUUUGUGACUGCUCUUUUACUCAUGCCUUUUCCUGUUAUAAUUGGGCUCCAGAUUCGGACCAGAAAUAGAAUGUCGGAGUACAAAUGCCCUGACUUCACCAUGAGCGGUGCUUAUCUCAGCGAAUUCAAUUACACCGAAAGCAAUCGUACUCUCUCAUACAACCUCGCCCUCAACAUCACUCUCACAAACCCUAAGAAGAAACUCUUCCACGCGUUGAUUGACAUCAAAGUCGGUGCAUACUAUCAAGACAAGAGAAUUGGUCAGGUAACGUUGAUGGAUCAGUGGAUGUCGACGCCCAAGAACACAAACGUUUUUCAGAAUGUAGUCGUUCAAGGGCACGAUAUGUUGUUUCAGGAAUCUGUGACCCCUGCAGCUGAUCUUUACAGUAUCGACGUGGUCAUUGCUUUCCAGGACGAGAACAAUGAUCGACGGGGUGAGGUCAUUUACAAUCUAAGGCUUCCUUUGAGUUCCAACGGGAGAUCUUGGGAUGCCGACAAGACUGCAAACUGCCCCAUAUAUGAUUAAGUUUAUGGGAAACUUCAUUGUAAUCCUUGAAAAACAUCUCUUUUAGACUUUAAACCAUGUGUUUAUACCAGUUUUUCCCUAUAUUAAAUUUGGGAUUCAAAAUUUAAGCAUCUUUUUUCCUAAUAAUUUAAUUUGUGAAUUUUAAAUCAUUGAUUUGUUAAGGAGAAAUUAGGAUGCAAUCCCCAACCACCAAUACCCUUUGAUUGAAAUCCUAUUGAUUUUAAAUUUUUUAUCAAAGUCCUAUUUUAUACACAUUAGCAUAUUUACAUUUAAAACUUAAUGCCACCCCUAAAUGUAAUUAAUUCAUUUCUUUUCAAAAUUUCAUGAGAUUAUUGAGAAAUAAUCUUAAUAAAUGUGUUAUUGUUGCAAUCCUAUUAGAUUAUGAAUGUGAUUGUGUAAAUCCUAGUGUAUCUAGGGAUAUCUUGAAAUAUUCCCUGAGGUUAGAUAUUAUCCUAUUAGAGUUGUAAUCCUAUUAGGAUAAGAAUUUAACCUACCCUACUACUAUAAGUAAAGGCAUAAUGGGGUGAUACAACACACACCUCAGAAUUACAUAUCUCUCUUCUCUCUAUUGACGUCGGCCCUCUCCCUCUCUAGUCCUAAAAAUAGCUUAGUAAAUUGGGCCUACAACACGUUAUUAGCACGCUCUUGCCAGAAGCUAAGGAACUGAAUGAUCAUGGAGGAGGCUCUUGUGCACAAUCAAAGGCUUAAUCAUUUUUUGCCAAUCAGGUUCUUUUAAAAUAAAUUAAGAUAUUUGAAACGACCUUGAAGCAUGAAAACAUUCCUCAUGAUGCAUCAACCCCCUAUAUUUAUAUUUUCCUUUUAGUUAUAUAUAUGGCAUAUGUGUUCAUAUAUUUUAUCAAUAUAUAUAUAUAUAUAUAUUUGUUCAUGCAAUACACAAUUAUGCUAUGUGAAACUUGUGAGUCAAAGCAUCGAAAUUAAUUUAGAAGCAAAUAGGUUUUUUAACCCUAGAAUUUUGAAAAAAAAAAGGGGGGGGGGAAACUGAGAUUUCUCGCUACUCCACGCUGCACCGUCAAGCCAACAUGGCUGGCCUGCAGCCACGCCAUCACAAGGAUAGCGUCGUGUCGACGCCAUGGACCACCUCACAGCAAUCCCGUGGGCUUGCUGCCCCUGCCAAGACAACCAGGCUUCAAACUGGGUUAGGUUACACAGGCCUAAAGCCCUGAGCCCACCAGCAAGCCUGCAACCUUGCUGGACCGUCCCCUGCAUCUUGGCCCAACCCGCAAGCAAGUCUUAUGCUUGCUGGGCUUUGUCCUAGCUCUGACCUGCCUUCAGCAAGCUUCGGCUUGCUAGGCUUGUUUCCCCAUAACCCACAACCAAGCUAGCUCUCGUUGGGCUGCACGCACCCAUCCCAGGCCAGCUCCGUGCUAGGCCUGUGCACUAGCGCCUGUUGUGGCCCAAAAACCAGUAGCUUUGCUGCUGGGCCUUUUUCCCUGUAAUGGCCCAUGGCUUGUAGCCUAUCCCGUGGCCCAAUAGGCUUUUAGGGCCUUGUCCCGUACACAGCUUCUAGCCUACUGAGUUGGGCUCCGUUUUUUUUCGAACCCAAUGCUAUUUUUGGCAUUCCCGCUAAUAUUAACCCGAAUUGUAUUAUUUUGCUUCUAUGAUCAAACCUGGAUGGUUACGAUCUAUUAAAUUAAUUAAAGUGACCAGCAGUCUAUUAAUAUGACAAUUAAUCCAAAAUUAUUGGCUUGGAGCUCACUUUUUGGCAAUUAACGAUUCAAUAAACUAUUUCUUUUCUUAGAACCAUUGACUAUCUUUGUAUUGAAGCCAAUAAAGGUUUUGUUAGAUUAGUUUCAAGGAGUAAAGACUCCUUGAUUCUUACUUUAUUAGGACUAUUGAAUUACUUAUAUCACAAACAACUUGAUUAACACGUUAUUUGCAAUCCAAAUAGAUUCAUUGGUAUUCAUGAACUUUACAGGAAAUGUUUGUGGCCAUGGACAUAUUUGCCCUCAACGUUACAAGCAGUGCAAACAUUGGAUGUGUUGGUGGCGUCUGUGGCAUAAUCGUCAAAGCAUUUGACACAAGUAAAAUAAAACUCCCUUGAUAAAUUUUUUGCACUGCCCGUUACAAAAAAGGUUUUCCACUGUAAACAAUGUAGAAGAGAGUCAUCACGUUCAUGAAAUCAAGCUCUUCAUGUCCUUCCUUCUUUGGUUCGUGGAAAAAAAGAGGUUACUCAGAUGCAUGCAACCUUCAUACAUCUCCAUGUAUGCCAAGAACUCCUGCAAGCUCACUCGGUCAUUCCAGCACGGUCCAUUUCGGAGAAAAACUCAUCUGCCGCCCGUUGGAUUUGCUCCAGCGCAUCCUUGUAGUAUGCAAAUGCUGUUUGGCGUAAAUCCUUCAUUUUAAAACUUAUGUUCUUGAUUCUUAGAUAUGGACUAGCAAUUGAGCCCCUGUGAGAUGCCGCAAGUUUUAAGACCGUUUAAAGUGAUAUUAUUUUACAUAUAAUAUGUCCACACUAAGAAAUGUUUUUAAAGUGUUAUUUACAAAGAGAUGAUACUAUUUACAACUAGCUCAAAUCACAUUGACAGUCUGCUCUUUGAGGAAGCUUUCAACAAACAUGAAUAGUAAAAUGGACAAAUCAAUAGGUUGUAGGAGAUGAAUGCAAUCAAUUUGGAUUUACCAUGAAUGGAUUAAUGAAGAAUCGAUAGUAACUCUAAACAUGAUAGUCAUACAGAUUAGAAAGUCAUCCAUCUAUAAGCCAGCCCUCAUAAAUUCAUUCGCUUCGACUAUUCUUCUAAUGUUUGAUAAAGAAAGCGAAGUUCCUGUAGGUACUCCCUAACCAUAUGAGCAAUAAAGUCUUUAAUUUAAAAGGAAUCCCAAUUUUCUCGACAUAAAAAUAAAAAAUAUAUAUAUAAGCAUUACUAAUCACUGUAUCUGCAAAACCAAAUCUCCUUUUUUGUACGCGCUAAAGUACACAUAUGAAUAUCAAAACGGAAACCUCAAAUUAUCAUAGCAUUCCCUUUCUACCUUAAUUUCUAAAAAAGGAAACACAAUGGAAGAAAAAAAAUUCAAUAAUUUUAUCUUGUAAGUCAUUGCUAAAGAGAGUCAAAAGCACUUCAAUUAUGGAAGGAGGGAAAAGGGGUGCAAAUAACUGGUGCUAAAUACAAAUCACUGCCUAGUCAUCAAAUCUUUGUAAGCAAACAUUAGAAAGGUUUAGGAUCUAGCAUGAUAGUUUAAGUUACUUGAGAUUUUUCAAUGUUCGCAAGCAUUCUGCUGCUAUAUAAAUUGACGGAUUCUUCAAAAGAAUAUAAUUGGUGUGUACUUAUACAUAACACCACAUAAUUAGCCUUAAAAUCAAUAUGCAUAACUUAAUAAACUUGCACGACACUCAUUUUACUACUUACCAUUUUAAACAUUGGCUCUUAAGAUAAGAGAUGUAAUGGUGACUUCUUAGCCUUAUACGAUGCAUGGUACCUUAGAUCGCAGAAUGUACAAAACUCUAUGAAUGUCCAAAAUUCAUACUUAUAUAAUCAACAAAACCCCAGCAAAAUGUUUUAUACAUUAGUUUUCGAUACUGCUAACAAAAUGCACAUGUUUAUACAGGGAGUUACAACAAAAUGUAAAUCUUGGUAUUCUUCCCUAAACCGUAGAAGCCCUCCAUACCUAAACUUUUUUCAAUCUACCCCGAGUUAGUAACGAUCUACUGUAGGUUCUUUUGGUCUGGAUAGCAAUUGAAUGCAAUCUGAGCGUGAAGGGUACCUGAUGCAUGGUGGUUUAAUUUUCAUCUGCUGCUUUUUGAGCGGAAAUGGACUAAUUCUUGUCUUGAGCUUAAUGAUAUCAAAUUCAGCUUGGUCCCAAAUGUUAAAGACAUCUUUGCAAGUAAAAAGCCAAUUGAAAGUUAAAGACAUCUUUGCAGGUAAACAAUAGUUUAAUUAGUAGUAAGAUUUGAUCAGCUCUGCAUCACAGAGGUGGGAGCACCAUAUAUAAAAUUAGGUCCCUAAAUAUUUUCAGCAAACUAAAUGACAAUAUUCUUAAUACGGAAACUACAUUAUGGUUCGUAAGAAAUAUUCUAAGCUAGAACUGGCCUAAAAUUGAAAUAAAGAAGUGUUGUUAGAAAUAACGAUUCCGGUAUGUUUUGGUCCUAUAAUUACUCACUCCCAAAUUAUCAAAUUCUAAAUACCAUUUUCUCAAAAACUUGCAUACAACGGCUAUCCAUCUUAGUAGUUGUAAACCAAUUCAUUCUCAGCUCAGUUUUGGUCCUAUGAUUACUCACUCCCAAAUGUGAUUGUUAUUCUGUGUGCAAAAUAAAAUUCACUAAAAUUUAAGGCUGUGAACAUUUAUUCAUCACAAAGUUUUCAUACCUAUGCUGUUUUUAAAACCUUUUGAUUAGUAAUACAGAAUUGAAUGUGAGCUAUUCUAUUUGGUAGGAACCAAUAAACUCAAAAAUGCCCAAGAAGCAGAAGCUCGAAGACAAAAUAGAAAACAAAAAUCCAUUGGGAAAGAGGAAGUUUUUGCCGGGGAUAUCACAAAUUUAACAAUUACAUUUGUAUGUGUGCAAGAUUUGGUUUUAUACAAGAUGUACAUCUCUGUACAAGAGUCCAACAAUUUACAGCUAAAUUUUUACUUACCUGAAAUCAAUACCAUAUUUCAUGCGCCUUUUGCUUAGGGGAUGUCUAAACGAUUCCUACCUUUUAGUUUAAAAGAGUUUUUAUCACAAAUAGUGUCUGAAAUUGAUUCAACUCAUCAAAAUGUUGUUUGAAAUUAAACAUUGAUCAAUGUAUUCUUUGAAAAUAAGUGUCGCAAAUCAAAGUCGUCAUUCCGUUAUAAUUCCGUAAAAAUAUUUGUUAUGUAAUGGUGUGGCACAUAACUGAGACCAACAAAUCUAAUUAAAUAUUGCUAUGUGAAUUUAAAAUAUUUAAAUAAUAAAAAAAUUUGUUUAUAUAAUUAAAAACUUAAAAAAAAAAAAAAAAAAAAAAAGAAGAUGACUGGUCAUUAUCUUCUCCUCCUCCCAUCCGAGUAAUCAUAGGAGCAGACUCGUCGUUUGCUCCUCUACGAGCACUGCCUUUGAGGCCGACCGAGCUCCAACUUCCGCCAAUCCGUCCAAUCUUUUACCUUUUCGGGUUGGGCACGGGUUCGACCUGCACAAGCUGGAGCUCAGGUACCCUCCGAUCAAACCUCAUGGCAGAGGCUGGGAUGCGCAUUGCGACGGUAAUUCCUCCAUAAAUCUGCUUUUUCUUCCCAUAAUUUCACAUUUUCUAAUUUAUUUUUUACAUUUUCGAUAUAUUUUUUGAAGUUUGGGGAUGUGUUGCUUCAUUGUGUGGUGGAUGCGAUAUUCGGGGCUUUGGGGCUUCUGGAUAUUAGGCAUAUAUUUCCUGAUUCAGAGCCGAAGUGGAGGGAUGCAGCUUCCUCGGGUGGAGAAAUUUUUCAUUGUGACAGAACCUAAGUGGUACACUACGUGUUUUUAUGUAAGUGGUGAGAAUUUUUAUAUUUUAAGUUAUUAACUUUUUAACACACAUAUUCCACAAUUUAUAUAGUAACAUAUGGUGUAUUACCCCGUGUAUUGGUCACACUGAAAAAUCUUUCCCUCGAGUGAGAGAAGAAGAUGAGAACAACUCCAGGUUUGAGGCCUCUUAGGUUUAGAUUAUACCCUAAUUUCAUUAGCCAGUAAAUGCUUCUGUGACUUUGUUCUUAUUAGUAAAUUCUUUAAACAAUGGAUUUUUUUCCAAUUUAAUAUUGAGAAAAUAAACAGAAAUACAGAGGUUCUCGAACUGAAUCCUCAGCCCUUUGGCGACUACUUUGCAAAAAAAGCAGCAAAAUUAAUAAUUUGAGAUUGAAUUCACAAAUUAAAAAAAAAAGUAAUUGCAGAGGGAUCGAAAAUUGAAAUCACUCCUAAGUAAAGCUCGAAGAGAUUGGAUUAGGGUUUAGGAAUUGAGGAUUAAGGAAUCUCGUCGAAAACUGAAUUUUCAAAGAAAUUUUUCCAUAAAUGUAUUAGCUUCUACAGGAAAGACUGGACAACAACUUACCUUUGAUUCACCUUGAACCGUAAAGAAUCGAGGCAUGCAACGGGUGAUUUUGGUUUCUAAGAUGAAGGUUAAACGACUGGCUGUAACAAUAAGGUCUGAUCGCCAUCGUUUGGCCAGAAACAGCUCGCUGGACUUCAGGCACCAACUUAAUAAUAAAAAACGGCCAAUAAUUUCUAGAAAUAGAUUUGAGGGUUACAUUGAAGUGAGAGAGGUAUGUUUUUAGUUGGUUUGUCGGUCUGUAGUCACUGGAAACGGCGAAAUCAUCGCCGACCACAUACAAUGGUGAGUCGUGGAGUGAAUAGCGAGAGGGAAGGGCGAGAAGGGAGACAAAGAAAAGGAAAAAAAAGAGUUUUUCUAUAUUUUCUCAAACAGUAGCUUAUGAACAGUGAUUCAGUGUGUUUUUUAUUUUAGUUGCACUCAGGCAAGGCAGAAAGUGGUAUAUAUAUUAUGGAUUUGAGGUUAAGUUUCAAGGAACUUUCUCAUGUGAUGUGACUAAUUACGCGCUAUAUAAGGGGAGGUGGAUUGUCUGCCCUCCCAUUUCCAUACUCUUCCCAUCCCCUCCUAUUUGUGUGGUCACAGUUAAGCCACGUCAACAUUUUAUAUUGAUUUUUUUAUAAAAAUAAUAAAACAAAACGUAAUAUGAAUAUAAAAUGUUGACAUGGCUUAAUCAUGACCACACAAAACAGGAGGGGAUGAGAAGAGUAUGGAAAUGGGAGGGCAGACAAUCCGCCUCCUAUAUAAGGUCGGUAGCAUUAGUCAUCAGUGGUGGGGUUUCGUGGAAAAGGAUCCGGUGAGGUUUCGUGGAAAAGGAUCCGGCGAGGUUUCAUGGAAAAUGAUCCUUACCGGAUCUUUUUCCUGGGGAUCCUAGAGAUUCCGUAAUCGUGAUCGUUUAUCAUACAUAUACGAUCAGAAAUCAUUUCAAAAUUUAAAAUUUAAAAUUAAAUAUAAAUAGUACCCAGCGAAAACUGACCGCACGAUGUACGAUGAACAAUCACAAUCACGGGAUUCCUAAAAAAAGAUCCUUAUUCGGGUUUCGUCUUCAAACUUGAAGCUUCCAAACAAUAAGGAGCUUAAUUACGUGCUACUUUCAUUGAAAACAAAGAAAAAACGUGUUACUUUUAGGUUUAGGCUAAUUGUUUAUACGAUGAGUUUUGAUUUUGAUGUAAUUUUUCGCUUGAAUUUGUAACUGUGUGAUUUUUCUUUUUCUUUUUAUUUGGUGUCACAUGUUAUUCAAUUCCAAAAUUAUUGAUUUGAUUGGUGUAAUGUUUCUUCAAAAUUCGAAGUUUUCUUUAUUUUGACUUUAGUUUCACAAUAGUCAAAUUAACGAUUUUCUUGAUUAACUAAUUAAGUUGGGGCACCAAAUCAACCUAUAGGAACAAAAGUUACACAAUUUGCAAGUUGAGAAAGAAAAAUAAAAUAUCAAUGAGACAUAUAAACAAAAAAACCUUUCAAGUAAUACGUAAUCUAGUACUGGUUUGGUACUGAGAUGCUUUUAUAAAAAGUGGGUAUAAAAAAAAACUAAGCUCAAAAAUGUGUUUCGUAAACACUUAAAAACAACUUAUUUUCACAGUUUUUGGUGAAAAAGCUAAAAACGUGAAGCAACAAAAAGAGCUUAUUCUCACCGCACAACAGAAGCAGUUUUUUUUUUCAAAGUACAGCAAUACCAAACCAACCCAAAUCUAAUGUACAUAUAUUACUGCAACCGCCAUUGUACAAGUUAAGGGACAAUACUAAUCUGGGUUGGCCUGCCAAAUUGUCAACUAAACUCAAUAUCGAUGAUUAAACCAAUUUUAAAACAUGGUGAAAACAUAAAACUUAAAAGCCACACCUUAAAAUUACUUAGAUCCUUUAUAUCAUAGAAAUACUUGAUGUUUUGCUCCGUGCACAAAUCCCUCAAGAUAUCCACAUUACGGUUCGCACGUUCAUCAGUUGUAAAUAUAUAAUGGUCAGGUAUGAUUACAACCUUUUCACGGUUCCAAACCUGCAAUUUCAAAAUAAUGAAGCACUGUUUAUACCCCAUGACAACAAAAACGUUGACUAUCAGAGUGCGCAAUGAACGAGACUAAUAAAAUAGAAAGAAUAUUAUUAAACAAAUGAGAAUGCCGAAACGGCUACAAAACCCUAAGAGGCUACAUUGUGACUGACUUAAUUCUCAAACUAAAUUACAAGCUUUAUUUAUAGAGAAUUAAACCUAAGGAAUCCUAACUCAUAUGGGUUAGUCUCAAAUCCUAAACUAACAAGGAAAACCCAAAUACUAAAAUAAACCUAAAUACUAAUAUUUUUCAACACCCCCUGUCAACUCAUGGCGGAACACAGACAUGAGUUUGCCAAAGUAGAUGUGGAUGCAAAGCUCCAAAUUCUAAUGUCGAUGCCGAUGCCAAUGCCGAUGUUGAUACCGAUGCUAAUGCCAAUGCCAAUGUCAAUGCCAAUGCCGAUGCCGAUGCCGAUGUCAAUACGAAUAUCAAUGCCAAUACCAAUACCAACUUCCAAACAAACAAUAAAAAAAUCCAACCAAAUAAACCAUAUAUUUCUUUCUGCCUGUGUGGGCCUUCAAACAAAAAACCAACAUUUUUUGUCUUUAUUCUUUUCUACCUUUUUUUUCCCCUUUUUUUCCCUAUUCUUUUUUUUCCUUCAAACAACACGUCUUCUUUCUUUUUUUCUUUUUUUCUCUAUCCUUCUUCCUGUAUUCUUCUUCCAACCUCUUUUGUACAAACAAACAGCAACUUUCAAGGGUGCAGCAACUGGUUCGUGCAGAUGGUGGUGGUGAGUUGAACUGAUGCAAAUACAACGGAUCUUGUACUGGUGCAAGAGUGGUCUAGGCAGGCCUGGAUGCAGUGAUGCAACGGUGGGGCUGGAGGGAUUCGAAUAUGCAGGGAAGCAGCGGAUUCAACGGGUGAUGGAAUGGACAAAUAAAUUGUAGUAGCAGGUGCAUGCAGAUGCGGAUGGUGGUUCAACGGUCCAUAUGCAGAAAUGUUGUGGGAUGCGAGUCAGGUGCAGGUCAUAAGCCGGAGUACAAGACAAGAAUGAACGACGACAAAGGCAAACAAUUGAUACCAAUGAGAAAGGAUUGAACCCUAAGGAUCGAACCCACCCUGAUACCAAGUUGAAUAUCAAAGUGCGCAAUGAACAAGACUAACAAAAUAAAAGAAUAUUAUUAAACAAAUGAGAAUGCCGAAACGGCUACAAAACCCUAAGAGGCUACAUUGUGACUAACUUAAUUCUCAAACUAAAUUACAAGCUCUAUUUAUAGAGAAUUAAACCUAAAAAACCCUAACUCAAAUGGGUUAGGCCCAAAUCCUAAACUAACAAGGAAAACCUAAAUACUAAAAUAAACCUAAAUACUAAUAUUUUCCAACACUGCAGUGAUUACAAAAUCUCAGAUAUGAAAGAUAGACCUUUUCAAUAAUAGUAAUCAACACACCUUCAGAGAUGAUGAAUAGUGAUCUAAACAAAGAAAAUAUGCCAUCAAGCAAUGAGUUAAAUGCAAAUGAAUUCCUUCUUUCUUUUAUUUCUGUGAUUGGUUAUGGUUAUCAACAAACAAAGCAGUAAGAGAGGACUUGUAAGUUGAUAUGUUGUAUUGGCCUCGCAUACAUACAAGAGGUUUACCAGCAGAAACGGGCAUGUGGACUAUGACAACAAAAAAACAAAGACAACCUUCUCAUUGCUGCCGUCCACAGUUGGGUUGGGUCAAGCUACGAUGUGAUGCUAAUGUUCCUUGACUCUUGCAGUGAUGCGCAGAAACCAUUUGGGACAUAUUCAUGCAGAAUGUUUUUUCGCGAAGCUGGCCUAACCCGACACAUAGAAGUAGAUUCUCUAAUGUGAUCAUUACCAUUGCCAGAUGAGUCAACGACAACACGACUCGAUCAAUGAACGUAUUACUUCUAACUAAAUAUUUAUGCCAACCCCUUUUCCUUGUUGGUUUGUACAGCAUGUCUAGAUCAGCAAACUAAGCUAUUCAAAACCGACAAAUAUGGCUUCCGAUUUUACUGCUAGUCUCUUGGAUUUUCUCAUGCAUUUCUGACUGGAAAUCGGCGCUGAAGAGGAGAAAGCAGAGAUAUUCAGAUCCUUCUGAUGUUCAAAUCAAAUUCAGCAAUGGUUUAGUGAAAACCAAAAAAAAAAAAAAAAUGGAAGAAAAAAAAGUUGGAGCCAAAAAAGCAAAAGGGACCUUGUUACUGAUGAAGGAGGUGGACGGCAGAGAAGCGGUAGAGCAGGCCAUGGGUAUUGCGGCGAAGCAGAAGAAGAACAAAGUGAAGAAAAAGUGGAAGAGUUGUGUUCCGGUCACAAUGAAAAUUUUUUCUGGCAACUGAGAACCUUGUGUUUUGGAGUGGAUAUGUCACCGGUACACGAGAUAAUAUACGACGUGUUACUAUACAAAUACUGGAAUAUGUUUGUUAAAAAGUAAAUAACUUAAAAAGUAAAACUUUCUACCACUUUUAUUAAAAUAUGUAGUGUACUACUCCUAUUCCGGUCACAAUGAAAAAUUUCUCAUUUGCUGAGGGGCGUGUGUUUUGGAGUGGAAGUGACUGUAAAGCAGAAAUGACAUGUGGAGGUGUGCAAUGUUGCGAGUUAUAUAUUAGUUAAAGUGUAAAUAGUAGUAUGUUGUCCCACAUUGACGAAAUGCAUAUGUAAUACCAAUUGUAACUCCUAUAUAUACUCCACUUUGAAGAUUAAUGAAUAUACAAGAAAUUUCCAAAUAUUGUCAUAUAUAUUUUUGGUAUUUACCAUGUUAGUUUAACUUGAUAUCAAAGCAAUUCGCUCUUUGAGACUUGUGUGCUUUAAUUUUAUACCCAUUAAAAAAAAGUGAAUAGUGCCACAAAUAAUGCAUCGCUGUAGUGCAGUGAACAAUGCCUUGCUACAGCAGUGAACAAUACAUUGCUACAAUAUAGUGAACAGUGCCUUGCUACAAUAUCAUGAACAGUCUCUGCUACAGUGUGUGAAUAGUGUUAUGGUAAAUUGUUUUCAUUUCGUUACAUAUCUUUUGUGCCUUUAUUGUUCGUGGUUUAGUUAAAUGGCUCAAUAUAAUCAUAGUGUUGUUAUGCAUCUUGGUGGAACAAAUAUAUGGAUAAUUGAUACUGCGGCCACUGAUCAUGUGACUGGUGACCCUAGAGUGUUUGAUAAGUUAUGUGACUAUGUUCGUGAUCCAUUUAUUAAUAGUGCAAAUGGAGCACAUUCCUCUGUGAAGGGUGAAGGCACUAUCUCUCUUACUCUGACCUUAUCACUUAUUCCUGAUGUUAAGUGCAAUCUUUUGUCAGUAGGAAAACUACUGGAUACCUUAUAUUGUUAAGCUCACUUCUACCCUACAUAAGAUAAUUGGUCGUGGUAAAAGAAUUGGGGGUUUGUACAUCUUGACUAUAGAGGAUACUGUUGUUUCCGGUUCAAAUAAUUAUCAAGUUUUAAGUGCUAAAGUGGAUGAUAGACAUCAAAUUUGGUUGUGGCAUGGAUGAUUUGGGACAUCCAUCAUUCGGUUAUAUGAAGCAUCUAUUUCCUUCUUUGUUUCACACUUAUAGUGAUUCAGAGUUCAAGUGUGAAACAUGUGUCAUGGCUAAUAGUCAUCGUGCUUCCUUUCCCAUAAGUGAUUCUAAAGCUACUUUGUCAUUUGAUUUAAUAUAUUCUGAUGUGUGGGGUCCGGCGAAGGUUACUUCUAAUGGAUUCCGUUGGUUUGUUACUUUUAUUAAUGAUUGUACUCGAUUAUCUUGGGUGUUUUUAAUGAAGAUUAAGAGUGAUGUUCCUUUGCUUCUUCAAGAAUUUUGUGCAAUGAUGUCUACUCAGUUUCAGACCAAAGUUAAGGUCUUUAGGUCUGAUAACGGAAGAGAAUAUGUGAAUCACACUUUGGCGUGCUUUUUUCGUGAUUAGGGUAUUAUUCACCAAACGACUAUUCCGUUUACACCCCAACAAAAUGGUGUGUUCGAACGGAAGAAUCAUCAAAUAAUGGAGGUUGCUCGCUCCUUGAUGUUGGAUACAUGUGUUCCUAAUCAUUUGUGGGGUCAUACUGUUUCGGCUGCUGUGUAUUUGAUAAAUCGUGUUCCAAGUAGGGUUCUUGAUUUUCAAACACCGCUUGAUGUGCUACAAAAGCAUGUUUCUCUUGUUUCUAUGUCCAAACUUCCUCUGAAGGUGUUUGGGUGUAUUGCAUAUGUGCAUGCCUACUCUUAUCAGCGAAGUAAACUUGAUGCAUGUGCUCUCCGAUGUGUAUUUAUUGGGUAUGCUAACAAUCAGAAAGGCUAUAAGUGUUAUCAUCCUCCGAAUCAGAAAUAUUACCAUGGAUGACACCUUGCACAAAGAAGUUUCGUAUUUUGUGAAGCCCUCCGACUCUCCACUUCAGGGGAGGAAUGUGAGUGAAGUGCAUAUUCGAAGAGAUGGUAUAGAUGAUGUGUUACAGGCAGAGUUGGGGACAUAAUCUAUUAUGUUGCGUGAUACUGAUCAGUCGGCUAUAGAUAAUGAUUGGUCAACUAUUAUUCACGAGACUGUUUCUACUGACGACCGAUCAGAUGUGCACAACGAGUUGCUUGUUGGUAUGUCUAAUGAAUUACCUUCUCAUGACUCAUUGCCUACUGCUGGUAUGUCUAACGAGUUGCCUGAUGAUGGUUCAUCUAGUGAUGAUUCUUCUAAUAGUUUGGUACAAGAUUGUGACAUACAUGAGGUAAAUUCUUAUGAUUCUUCUACUUAUCAGUUGCCUCUACGAGCUAAUCGUGGAAAACCUAAAGUACAAUAUGAGUCUGAUAUGCAUGCCAAAGCCAAGUAUCCUAUCAACAAUUACGUGUCUACUCAUCGUUUGUCCAAACCAUAUGCAUCUUACAUAUGUCAGCUAUCUAAUGUAUCAAUUCCAACAAAAUUGCACGAUGCUUUGUCUGAUCCUAAGUGCGUUAAUGCCAUGAAAGUAGAGAUGGAAGCUUUGCAAAAGAAUUCCACUUGGGAUUUGGUUCCUUUGCCAAAUGGGUUGUUGGUUGUAGAUGGAUGUUCAAUAUUAAACACAAAGCAGAUGGUUCUAUUAAUAGGUAUAAAGCCAGAUUAGUUGCUAAGGGUUAUACUCAAACCUAUGGGGUGGACUAUCAGGAGAUUUUUACUCCUGUUGCCAAACUUAAUAUUGUACGUGUUCUUCUAUCCUUAGCCGCAAACCAGGAUUAGCCUCUAUUGCAGUUUGAUGUUAAGAAUGUUUUCCUUCAUGGUGAUCUCAAGGAAAAAGUUUAUAUGGAUCUCCCACCUGGUAUCGGAAUAUCUCCUGGAAAAGGUAUUGUGUGCAGAUUGCGAAAGGCUUUGUAUGGUUUGAAACAAUCACCUAGAGCAUGGUUUGAGAGGUUUAGAAGUUCAAUGAAGAAGUUUGGGUAUGUCCAGAGUCAUUCAGAUCAUACUUUGUUUCUAAAGCGACAAAAUGGUAAGCUAACUGCAUUGAUUAUUUAUGUUGAUGACAUGAUAAUGACUGGUGAUGAUCAGAAGAAGAUACAACGCCUUCAAAAGUACCUAGCUAUUGAAUUUGAGAUGAAAGAAUUGGGUGAAUUAAAGUAUUUUUUUUUGGAAUUGAGGUUGCAUGAUCCAAGCAUGGUAUUUUGCUAUCUCAAUGGAAGUAUGUUCUUGAUUUGUUAGCUAAAACAGGUAUGUUAGAUUGCAUACCUGUUGAUACUCUAAGUGAGCAAAAUCAUCAUCUUGGUUUAUUUCUGGAUCAAGUUCCUACUCAUAAGGAAUGGUAUCGGAAACUUGUGGGGAGAUUAAUUUAUUUGUCUCACACUCGCCCCGAUAUUGCUUAUGCAGUUAGUGUGGUAAGUCAUUUUAUGCACUCACCUAGUGAAGCUCAUAUGGAUGCAGUAAAACGUAUUUUGAGGUACUUGAAGGUGGCUCCUGGCAGAGGCUUGGUUUUCUCCAAGAAUGGUCAUUUAAAUGUCGAAGGGCAUACAGAUGCAGAUUGGGCAGGUUCUAUCAUUGAUCGGCAAUCUACAUUUGGAUACUUUACGUUUGUGGGUGGUAAUCUAGUUACUUAGAGAAGCAAGAAAUAAAAAGUGGUGGCUAGGUCAAGUGCUAAAGCUGAGUUUCGUGGUAUGUCUCAUGGUGUAUGUAAGUUGUUGUGGUUGAAAAAAUUGUUGAGAGAUCUUGGAUUUAAACCCAAGGGUACAAGGCUGCUAUUGAGAUGUUCAUAAUCCAGUGCAACAUGAUCGAACAAAACAUGCGGAGAUUGAUCGACAUUUCAUCAAGGAAAAAUUAGAUGCUGGAAUUAUUAUGUUUCCGUUUAUGGGAUCUGAAGAUCAACUCGCUGAUGUGCUUACUAAGGCUGUGUCUAAUAGUGUGUUUUCAACUCGCUUGACAAGUUGGGCAUGCGUGACAUCUUUGCUCCAACUUGAGGGGGAGUGUUGCGAGUUAUAUAUUAGUUAAAGUGUAAAUAAUAGUCUAUUAUCCCACAUUGACAAAGUGCAUAUGUAAUAUCAAUUGUAACUCCUAUAUAUACUCCACUUUGGAGAUUAAUGAAUAUACAAGAAAUUCCCAGAUAUUGUCAUAUAUAUUUUUGGUAUUUACCAUAUUUAGCUUAACUGUUGGUGUUGCUCCGUUUAGGAUGAACUAAUUUAGUUAUUUUAUGUUGUCCAAAAAGGGAGAUGCGAUCAUCUAAGACAAUGUAGUAGUCGACCAAAUUUACAUAGCGGCAGCAUACCACACGUUUCCCAGAACUUAUUUAGUUUUGUUUGUUUGUUACCCACACUCGUAAUAGGUGGGGCGUUUUUAGGGAUGGCAUUUCUAGCCGUUAAACCAGAUAAUCGUGGAUAAUUGUCCAAAUGGAAUGGAUUUGAGUAUGGAAGUUUGGGUAUAUUUUGGAUAUGGGGAAAAACCGUUUAUAUUAUUCGGUUAUAGUUUUGGAUAUGGUUAUAGACGUCCCAAGCCGUAUCCAUAACCGAAUCCGACCCGAUUAGUAAAUAAUAUAAUUUAUAUUUAAUAUAAUAGUAUAAUAUAUAUAUAUAUAUGUAUGUAUUUGUAUAUCCAUUAUUCACCAAACCAUUACCUUGAGAAUACAAAAGUUGCAUUUUGUAGGAAAGUAAAGUUUUGAAUCAAAAUCAAUGUGAACUCAAUGGUGCUUACGUGACAAGCCAACAUCAUUAGUGUUUUAAUUUUGGGUAAAUUACACAAAACUACCUUAACUAUUGGUCUCACGACACUUUCAUACCUAAUCUUUUUAAAAUGACAAUGUCAUACCACAUUUUACGAAUUUGUGCCAAUGUCAUACCUCUCGUUAGUUUGGCCGUUAAUUUGUCAGUUAAGUGCUGAAGUGGCUUGAUCCAGAGCCCACUUUCUAUUAAAAAAUUAAUAAAAUAUUAAAAAACUAAAAAAAAUCAUUUAAUAUUUUUUAAAUAUUAAAAUAAUAAAGAAAAGUAAAAAAAAAACAAAAAACAAAAUAAAACAAAACCUUUCGUCCCUCCCCCCCCCCGGUCCCCUCUUUUUAAAUAUUAAAAUAAUAAAGAAAAGUAAAAAAAAAAACAAAAAACAAAAUAAAACAAAACCUUUCGUCCCUCCCCCCCCCCCCCCCCGCCCCCGGUCCCCUCUGUCUCUCUCCCCUCCCCCAUCUUCAUUUUCUACCCUGCAACCCAGAAAAAAAAAAAAAAAAAAAAACCAAUUUGUCUUCCCUCUUCCCCACCCCACCCCACCCCCUUUCUCCCCCACCUGAGCCCAACCUGAAACCCACCCCUUUCUUCCCCCUCCCAUCUUCCCUAAACCCUCCGCACCCACUUCCUGCAACCCAGAAAAAAAAAAAAAAAAAAAAAAAAAAAAAAAAAACCCAGAUCCCAUGUGGGUGCGAGGUUGGGUGCGUAGGGUGGGUGUGAGGGUGGGUGCUGGGAGAAGACGAACUGGGAAGAAGAUAAAGAUGGGGGAGAAAAGGGGAGAGGAUGAGGGGAAGGGGAAGGGGUCGGGGUCAAGGAAGUUUGGGCUUUUUUUUUUCUUUUUUUUUUCUGGGUUGCAGGUAGGGGGAAGUCGGGUGGGAAAGGGGGAUGCAGAGAAGAGAGAGAGGCGAGAGAGAGGGGGGAAAGAAAGGAGAGAGAGAGAGAGAGAUUUAAUAAAAAAAAAAUAUUUUUUUAUUUUUAAUUAUUAAAAAUAUAUUUAAUAAUUUUUUAAUCUAGUUGGAUUAGUGAGUGGAUCCUGCAUGUAGCCACAUCAGCACUUAAUAGAAAAAUUAACAGAAAAACUGACGGAGGUAUGACAUUGGCACAAAUUUGUAAAAUGUGGUAGGACAUUGUCAUUUUAAAAAGAUUAGGUAUGAAAGUAUCGUGACACCAAUAGUAGAGGUAGUUUUGUGUAAUUUACCCUUUCAUUUUUAUACUCAACAAGAUGCAUUCAUUGGAUCAUUUUAUACUCAACAAGAUGCAUUCAUCGGAUCAUUUUAUACACCAAUAUUUUUCGUAUUGACAAAGAUGGAUAUACUCGUUAACCGAUGUGGAAUCCGUUACCCUGUGGGUAUGGUUAUGGAUAAUACCCAAUGGUUAAUUUGCAGUUAUGGAUAUGGUUAAUUUUUGUGGUUAUGGGGAUGGAUAUAACAUUUCCGUCCCCAAACCGAACCGUUGUCAUCCCUAGACGUCUUUUCUAACCCGAGUGGGUUAAAAGCAUAUUUAAAAUGAUGUUACAAGAGUAGUGAACAAAUUACAAACACCAUACUUCACUUAACCAACCUCGAACACCCAUCAAUCAUUUUAUAAUAUAUUAGUGUAAAAUAUUACUUAUAAAAGGGAAUAAAAUGAAAAGUAUAAUUUGUACUUUAGAUUAAACAUUGUAGUUUCUAUUGAAAUUUUAACCAAAUUUAGUAGUGUGAUUGUCAUGUGGAAGGGGUAAAAGGUGAAAGGUCUAGCGUAUUAUUCACAAUUUUAAUUUUUUAUAUAAUGAUAUAUUUACACUAAUAGGCAGUAAUAAAUUAGUUUUAAAUUUGUUCAUGAGAUUUGAAUUUAAAUAUCUCACUUACAAGUGAAACAAAAUAUCAUUAGACUGUAAUAUUACAUGGCAAAUAUAGUUUCACACCUUAAAAACCAUUUUCAUGAUAUUUUUUAUCAGACACACGAAUAUUGAGCAAAUUAUAUGAGAAAUUCGAUAAUGAUAACAAGUUUUUUUUUUUUUUUGUUGGAUGUUGAUAACAAGUUUAAUUACUCAACAAAUUUAUUGUGAAGCGUUUUCUUUAACCGCAUAGCUGACAUUACCAUAUGAUUCUCGUUGCGUGAAUUCCUGAAAGAGAGUGAAGUAUAAUUGAAGAUUAGUAGUGCUAUUUGAAGAGAAAUUUUCAAUGUAUUGUGAAAAUGGUUCGGUGCACAUUGGCGGCACGAUUUGGUACCUCAAAUUUCAAAAGAAAUGGUUGGAAGUUUUUUUUUCAAGUAUCCAACUACUUGUACUAUGACACCUAGUAUACCGAGUCAUGUUCUCGGUAAAAAAAAUCUCUUCUUACAUUUACUUUCACAAUAAUGGCAUAUUCAAAUUGUUGUUGAGGACUGAUAUACAUUUUAAUUCCACAAUAAGGGCGUAUUUAGUUAUUUGAAAUAUGAGAGACUAUGAAUUAGAUGAUAUAAGAAUGUUACCUACUUGUUUACUUAUGCCAUAAACGACUUCCUUUUGGUCUCAUACUUUUGUUCAGGUACAAGUGUAACUUGCAUAUUUUCAGCAUGCGAACUUUUUUAUUCGUCUAGAAGGGGUUUUUGAACAUUAGUCCUUACAAAAGAUUAAAAUUUUAAAAAAAACCUAGUGCUAGAUUAAAUAUUCAAUUUAAUCCCUUGAAUAGUGCUUUUAUCAAAAUUUACAUUCAAUUUUUGUUAUUUAAUGUGUAUUUUUAUUUAAUCUCUCCAUAUUAAAUUUGAAUUUUAUUAAUAUGCACAUAUUUAGUUUUUUAAUUAUAAAUGAACGUAAAUGAGAAAAUAUUAAAAGACAUUUGUGAUACAAAAAUAUAUAAAUACAUAAGUGUACAGAAAUAACUAUGCCGAAAUAUAUAAAAUUGACUUUUUUUGUACCGAAAUAUUUGUACCUACAUGAUUGUACCGAAAUGUAUUAUUGAAUUAAUGUACCUAAAUGUCAAUACCGAAAUGUAUGUACCAAAAUGUACGUACCGAAAUGUAUGUACCUAAAUGUCAAUACCGAAAUGUAUGUACCUAAAUAUCAAUACCGAAAUGUAUGUACCAAAAUGUACGUACCUAAAUGUAUUUACCGAAAUAUAAUAUAUUGAAUUAAUGUACCUAAAAGUCAAUACUCAAAUAUGUGUACCAAAAUGUAUGUAACGAAAUGCAUUAUAUUGAAUCAAUAUAACUAUAUGUUUGUACCAAUGGAUAUACCGAAAUAUUCAAAUAUAUUAAUGUACCUAAAUGAAUAACAUACAAAAUUGUUAUCGGAAUAUAUAUUAUAAAAGAAUUAGUUACCUAAAUGUAGACAUUAAAAUAUAUUAUGAUGAAUGAAAUAAAAAUUAAAUUUAAAUGUAAUUGAUACAUUAAAAUAAAAAUAAAUAAAUAAAUAAAACAUCAAAAUAUAACUAAUAAAUGAUAUGAUUAAAUGUACUAGGGACUAAAAUUGGAUUUUAAUCUUACACAAGGUUAAAAUCUAAAACUCAUAUUUUUUAAGGAUUAAAAUGAAGUUUUCUAUAUUCUAAAACCCAAGCUUAUAGCGAGCCACCUGGAUUGCUCCUAAUCUAGUAAUGUAAGGUUUGUCGCGUUUGUCAUUUUUGUGGCAAACCUACAUCAGUGGUGGCUUUUGUGUAUGUGGUGUGUGAAGUCUAAACUUAGUUGUUUUUGGCUUUAAGUCAUAUUCUAAAACCCAAGCGUAUAGCGAGCCAUUUGGAUUGCUCCUAAUCUAGUAAUGUGAGGUUUGUCGCAUCUGUCAUUUUUGUGGCAAACCUACAUCAGUGGUGGCUUUUGUGUAUGUAAUGUGUGAAGUCUAAGCUUAGUUGUUUUUGGAUUUUCUUGUUAAUCUUGUAAAUAUGUACAACACAUGCUCUUUAGAUCAGUUUUCCUUAGAUGAGACUUUAGGAUACUUGGUUUAUAAAGUUGGGGUUAUGGAAGAUCAAAGUGCAAAUGGUGUUGCUUCAUCACAAGUAGGGUUUGUACAUGCAUAUGCAUUUCACGUUUAAAUUUUUUAUGCAUUCUGACGAGUGAAGUUGACCCAUCAGAAUUGCUCGCUGCUUUUAUGCAAGCUGUGCACACAAUUUAAGACAGCCUGUGUGGGCCGACUGACACCUUUUAUAUGAGGUUGAGUUGUUCAUCAUUGAUCUGCUCAAAUUGCUUUUACAUUUGACAAGUGUCUUUUUUGUACUUUAUUUACAGCAAUCAAAUUUUUUGUUUAAUAGGGUUAGAGGAUUUCGUUUUCUCCUUAGUUGAGAUAGAUUAUAUUUUAAAGGAGUAUCUUUGCUUUUCAUUUUCCAACUCAGAUCCCUUACGAGCAUCAAACAUUUUUUUGGAUAAAGUUCUUCAUUGAAUAAUCACCAAAAUAUACAUGAAAAUGUUUGCUUAAAUCUUCUUAGACCCUCCUUUGUUUUGGGUUAGAUAAAUUGCAUUUUCAAGAGAGCGCCAUAAGAUCUUUGAGCUUCUGCUUCUUGUUUCUGUGAAACCCUAGCAACAUACACCUUUUUCAUGAGUUAAACUUGUGCUAGCUCACCCACAUCAUAUUUGAAAAAGGUUUUCAUUGGACGUGUUGCUCCCGUUGCCACAAGGAAAAGAGUUCAAGGUUGGAGUUGCUUCCUCGUGAAGACCGAUGAUGGCUCCAUCUCGUUCAAAGUAAGGUUACACAAAGGUAAAGCUGCUUCAUAGAUUAGAUCUUGGAAAUGAACUUGAUGUGGUACUUUGUAUGAACCUUAUUUGCACUAGUGGAUUGGACUUAGUGGGGUCCCCAGUUUUUUAAUCGAGAGGUGGAUUUUUCCGAUAAAAACUUCUUGUGUUCUCUAUUACUAACACUUGUCCACGUAUCUUAUUUAUUAGCAUAUGUUACAUGCAUCCUAUGGGUCGUUAUAUGAUAUGUGUUUGGGACUAACUUUACACUGCAUAUUAUGAGUAAUGAACUAUAUUGUUGUUGACUAGAAUAACUCGUAGGAAACUAAGUAUGUGUGAUAGAUUUGUGCUUGGUUAACUAAGGAAUCUGGACUUAGUUGACUAGUGAAUUUGACUAGCCAAUCCAGCCUACUUUAAUUCAUAAUUACUUUGUCAUCGUUGUUUGCAUAAUGGACAGAUGUGUGAAUGCGUUCCAUUUUGUGAUUUUUUGUUGUUAGACAGAUCUAGGUAGACUUUGACUAGUUAGACGUACUAGUCAAUUAAGUUUAGUUCUUGCAACUGUACUUUCUGUCACUGAAAAACUUGUAACUAGUUUACUGUGCAAAGUUUAAAUUUUUAUUAGCAGGAUAUUCUGCCUAGUACCAAUUCGAAUUGGUAUAAGAGCUUUGCUCUAGUUAUACGUAGAGUAAUCUUUGAGAGUUACUGGUAUUGAGCAGCAUCUCACCAUUGAUUGUGAUCGUGUUAUCGGCUCUUAUAACUCACCUCUGUUCUUUGUUGGAACGGACCAUGCCGCAUGGAGUGAGAAGUUCACCGACACGCCCUCUUUAUUCCAUCGUUUCAUAAAUACAUUCUAACAUGCUCUAACGAUUACACAUACAAUAUGGCAGCUACCCGACAAUCACAAGACAUAAAACCUUGUAGGAUGGAUGUUAUACCCAUUAUUCCGUAAUCUCUGCUAUAGCAUUUAGUUGCAGAAUAUAAAGAUGACAGACACUGGUCAGAUUGUAAUGAUAAAACUGCCUACUGCAAAAACUCUCUCGGGUCGGUGACGUAACCAGUCAAAGCUGACGCAGCAGCCGUAUAGGGGGAAGCGAGAUAUAUCUGGCCUUCCUUGUGACCCAUUCGGCCUGGGAAGUUCCUGUUUGUUGUCGAGACGCAUACCUGCAAAGACAAGAUGGUUAGUAAUCUACCAGUAUUUAAUUUCAAUACAAUUGAAACUAAAACCAAGAUGUUCUCCUUGCAACAAGGUUAUCUGCAAAUUGGGUUAUGAACCCCCAAAGGCAGGGAAGUCAGUCCCAAUUCUAUCGAAGACGACAUAGUGAAAUGCAACAAUGCGUGACGUCCAGCUGCCCCAAGACAGGAGAGCACAUUAGAUCCUUAUGAAUGUUGCAGAAAGGAUGCACUCGCCUGAGGUUCAUUUAAGCGUGCAUGCGUGUCUUUCGGACCACCCAUGCAAGCACCGCAAUUGGGACUUGCAGGUGCGUCACAUCCAGCUUCCUCAAAUAUCUGGGAGCAAGUCUUGCCACCAGACCCUGGAACUGGCAGACUAUACACGUCCAUCCAAACCUGCAGAUUUCAGAAUAUACAAUAAACAAGAUUUCAUUUAUCAUGCCUUUCAUAAAAUUUCUUGAUAAAUUUAUAUAUACGGAUGUUGUCACCAAAGCACUUAAUUCUGUAGCUUG
rnacentral:lncRNA from 1 species